GCUCGGAAUACCUUGAGCAUAACUCAUAUAAACCCCUAAAGAGCCUAAACAGAAGUAUCAGCUUACAAGGACAAAACAAAUUACCUCACUAAUCCUCAUUUCAAUUCACGUCACUAAUUUUCUACAACAAUGUAUAUAAAUUAAAGACUAAAUUAGCAAAAAUAAAAUAAAAAUGUAAAGAGUAUUGAAAGACUAAGCUCACCCAAAUCCAUUAUCAGCAUAAUAAGGCAGAUUCGACAAAAGGGUCUCAUCAACAUCAAAAACCCAAGCAUCCUUCCCAGUGAGCUCCACAGUCUUAGCAUACUCCAAUGAAUCAUCAGCAACCACCUCAGAAUCAGAUGUAUAUCUGUCCCCAGUCAUGUAAUCCUUGACAUAGUCAAUACAUUUCUCGGGAAUGGUGCUCCAGCUUCCAGCAUCAUUGGUUUCAACACUGAAUCUCCAGCUAUCACAGUAGAGAGUGUUGGCUGAGGUGAAAUGCAAGAGGGGUUUUGUGAAUUGUUGGAUUAUUGAGUGGGAGAGAAUGGGAGAGAUGAGAGUGAAGAGGAGGAGAAGUGUGAGGUGGGUUUGGUCGGAGGCCAUGGUUAGUAUCAAGAACCUGCGACCCUUGAAGUGUUUGAGGUUUGGGUAUGAAUCUGAAUCUAUUUAUACCCAGUAAACACAAUAUCACAUGUGCGAAAUUUGUCAGAUGUGACCCUGCCUCGUGAAAUAAUUAAUAAUUGAAUUCGAUUUGAUUUUUUGUCAAAUUUGAUUUGAAUUUGAAUAAUUUUUGAGAAAAAGUAGAAAUAAUUUUUUUAGUAAUUGGUGUAUUAUAAAUAUUUAAAUUUAUUUAAUUAAAAUCUUUCAUAUGUCUACUACGUUAUUUGAAAAAGAAAUUUAAGAUUGGGGCUAUUUUUUAUUCAUUCAUUAUAAUUUUUGGUAUUUUUUUUAUAAAUGAGUUAAUUCAAUAAUAAAAAGCCACGGUAUCUACAUAAACAGUCGCGUCGAACAAAAAAAAAAACAGAAACAAUCACUGAUUAAUCCAUUCUUCUUGGAAAUAAAAUCACUUGAUUUGUUAAAGAUGAUAUGUACACAUACUUCGCCACUUUCGCUUCCGCCAUAAAUAGUUUGAGCUAUCGACUGAGAAUGCAAUCCCCUGACAAUUUUUAUUACUAAAUCAAGCACCAUACUCACACAAACGGUGAGAAAAUAAUAAAAGUCAUACAAAUAGUGAGACAACAAAAAAAUCAAUACCAUACGUGACAACCUAACAACCAAAUGCGUAAAUGAAAUAUUAGAUAAACAAGGAAAUCCUAAGAUCUGGAGAACAAACCCACAAAAAUAAGAUAACUCGAACCACUUUGAAGGAUAGAAGCACUGUGAAAAAUGAGAAGUUCGUAACUCCGUGAAAUUGAGAUCUAAGAUAAGAAGGUUAAAACGGAAAAGGUUUUGAAUCCUUAGAUCCGAAAAACCAAACUAAUGUUAAAUAAGUUCUAUUGAAAGAAGGAACAAAACCCAAAAAAAAAAAAAAAAAAAUUUAGGAGCUUUCCAUCGGUAGAGAUCCGAUGGAAGCCCCUUCCAUUGCUAAACAAAAGUAAAAGAUCGAGGGGGAGGAAACUAGGGCUUGCGCCUUUGCCGUAUCGGAUAAAAUUAUAAUUUUUGGUACUUGUUCAAAUAAAUAUGAGAUUAUCGGAUUGAGGGAUCGUUUGGUUCGUGGAGCGGUAUCGGGUUCGAAUUAAGAAUCGAGUUGGGGUGGUAUGGGGUUAAGGUAUCAUUUAUGAUAUCAUGUGUUUUUUUGAGUGUUGGAAUGAAUCUAUUUAAUUUAAAUAUUAUCAUGUUAUUGAUUAAAUAAAAUAAUUUUAUUAAAUAAAAAAUUAUAAAUAUUUUUAUUAUUAACAAUAACAUUUAUUUGUAUAUGUAAAUAUUUUUUUUGUCAUUAUUAAUAUUUUUUCAAAAAAUAAGAAAAAAACAUUAAUAAUGAUACCCAUACCAGCAUUUCAUACCCACCUCUUCACUUGGGUUUCAAAAAGUCAUAUUCUGAGGGUUUGAGAUAUGGGUAUGAAGAUAAAAAAAAUCCAACCAAACAUUAGGUAUGAGUUUGGCUGAUUUGAUACCCAUACCUGAUUCAUCGUACUACCCAACCAAAUGACCCCUCAAAUAAAUAAUAUAGUUCUGAUUCAAUUUCCUGCUGGAAAUAUAGCCUCUUUCUUAGCUGAGAGUGGUUGUGCAGAGAGUACAGCCUUCUGCCAAAGAAAUUUAACCUCUUGUCUAAAUUUGAAAAAAACGUGCUUAAUAAUGAUCGAGUAAAAUAGGUGAAUUCAAUUGUCAUCUCCUUUUCCAACCAAAAAUUAUGUGGCUCUGGCCUAGCAAAAAAUUUUAUGUGGCACAGUUUUUUUUGCUUUCUAUACAGCAUGUGGCUCAGGCUAGUGAGGUGUAAUCAGCAUCUCUACGAGUCAUACAAAACAAGAAGAAAACUUCAGCUGUACUGGGAAGUAGAGGUGGCCAUUCGGGCGCGCCGGGGCGGUUCGGGCCGGUUCAACCGCGGGCCGAACCGUCAGCGGUGAAACCGUAACCGGCACGUUUGAAGUGGCGGUCCGGUCCGUGCCGGACCGGGGCCAGAAGAACUGAAAACCGGAACCCAGUUCAGUUCCGAUCCGUGUUUAGACGAUUCAGUCGGUUCGGUCCGUUUGGCCACCUCUACUGGGAAGAAGAUCCUUUUACGUUAGUAAUACUGCACUCAUUAGUUAUGCAGAUUAAAAUUCAUGAUUGUGCAUAUAUGUUCAUAACAAUUUCAUUACAUUACUAACUCUGUAACUCAUUUCACUUCACUAUAAUAUUAUCCGUCAUUCUUUUCAAUUUUGGUCGAAGCACCCUUUUGCAGCCAGUAUAUUAAAAAAUACAGUAGUAUAGUAAAAACAGCAAUCAUUUAAUUUGACAAAAAUAUCGUGUUGAAAUUAAGCAGAAAACUAGAAUAAUUAAUUAAAUAUAUAUUUAAAUAAUUAAACUUGAUCGAUUAGUUUUAGAAAAUAAUGUAUUGAUAAGUUGAAUUUUAAAAUGCUAAAUCCAUGUAAGCUUGUAAAGUUCUUCAAUUUCCAUAAUCCUUGUACAAACUAACACACUCACUUUUUUAUACCAACUUCGUAAACAACAUUAAAACAAGCUCCAUUUGCCUAGGUCCGGAUGAAAAACAUACUCCCUCCGUCUUAUUUUAGUCGUCACAAUUCUAUUUUUGUUGGUUAAAUUGACUAAAUUUUGACUAAAGAUUAUGAAUCACUCUUUCAUUAUUUUAAAAAACUAAAAACUACAUCUUAAAAUAGAUUAAAAGUUAUUUCUGAUGAUAUUUUUUUUUAAUUAUAUCAAAUAAUAAGAUAUUAAUAAAAUUUAGUCAAAUUUUAAUCAAUUUAACCGGCACAAAAUUAAAUGUGACAACUAAAAUGAGACGGAGGGAGUAUUUCUCGAUACAUCUAAUGGCCUCCUCGGACUAAGAGAAGAUUUAUUCAAGACAGUCCAGUGCAGACAGUGCCAGGCUAUGAAUUCCGGGCUCCCCUCUGGACUUUAGCCGGCUGAUCCAUAACAAACUCGUUGGUUGGGACGAAUUUUUUCAAUUUAAGUUAAUUGAUAUUAUGUUUUAACUCAAUUUAAUCAAUUUUUUAUUGUUUUAUUUAAAAUAGAUGGCAACCGUAUAAAUUUUAUUAAUUAAAAGAAUAUUUUACAGAUAAUUUGAGAGGAAUUCCUUUCUAAAAAAUCGGAACAAAUCAUAUCAAAAUACAGUCCGUCAUUCAUUACGGGCCGGUUCGAGCGGGAAGUCCUGACUCGUGCGGUUCGCGCGGACGGUCAGGUCCGAUCCCAGUUACAAAAUAUAUAUGAUCAUAUCGGGUCCGAUCGCAGUUACAAAAUAUAUAUAUAAUCACGGGCUUCUAGAAACUAAAUUAGCCUAAAAACUAGAAACUUCAAACUGGUAUCUGACCAAUUUUUUAUCACUAUUUUUAACUGCUACUAUCACUCAUUUGUACAUCACAAAUCACUAUUUCCUAUACAAGAAAUCUCAAAAAUAAAGAUAUAUAAAUAUACAUAUACAACAUAUAUCAUCAUCAUAUUCACUUAUAUCACAUUGAUGAACCUCCAAGCAUCAUUAUCAACCCAUUCCACUGCUAACGCCGUCACCCAUACCCACAAUUGACCUACCACCGCUUGUCACCAUAACUUGUCAUUACUGGUGAUUAUUUACCACCACCGCACACCUCAUCUCAUUAUUUUUUUUUUUACCAUCAUAGACCUUUUACAACUAUAAUUGCUCAUAAAUAAUCGAUAACCAAUAGCAAACAUAAGUAAAUUUUCUCAAUUAUCAAUAACAAAAAUUGCUAAUAUAACUGCAUAAAAUAGUGAUAAAUAGCGUAUAAACGAGUGAUAUUAGUAGUUAUAUAACAUUAGUUUCUAUUUGAUCGCUUGCCUAUAUAUAAUCAUACUGGCUUAUUUUUUGUACAGUCCGUUCCUGUUCGACUCGGGCCUGAUUUGAGCCGAUUUCUAUUGAAUUUUUUCUGGGCCAAAACCGUUGGUUCGGCCGGCAACAUAUAUAGAGCUGCAGUCUACUCACGAUACAAAAGAAAGAUUAGGGUUUGGACGAAUACUCCAGGGUACAUCUAAUGGCAACCUCCGACUUAGAGAAGUAUCUAACCCAAUAUUUAUUGAUAAACAUCUUUUGCAGACUAGAUGUAAAAUCUAUUCUACGAUGCACUUGUGUUCGCAAGUCAUGGCAUCACCUUAUUAUCAACACUUCUAAUUUGGUUAAAGAUCAUCUAACCUUUCAGAAAACCUCCUCCCAUGCAAAAAAAUAUAUACUACAUCAACUUCCAAAGGCUGCAGAUUACUAACAGAUUGCACGCCUCUUUUCGACACUACGAAACAUUCUAAACUAUACUACACUCCAGAAUUAUUCGAGAAAGAUUUUAAAACUGGUAAUGGACGCAAACUGAGGAUUCACGGGAUGUUUGAUGGGUUGUUUUGUAUUUCUUUUUCCUCGAGAGAAUUUGAGUAUAGUGAACAUGAUUGUUAUCGUAUAGGAGAUAAUUUGUAUCUAUGGAACCCGAUAUGUAGAAAAUCUAAAAGGCUUCCGGGACUUGAACUCUCGACCUCUGGUGUGAGCUUUGGGCAAUAUGGUGGUGUGAGCUUUGGGUAUUAUGGUGGUGAUUAUAAAGUGAUAGUAAUUUCUUCGUGUACUGGUUGUAAAUAUUUUGUUUCCAUUUACAGCUUAAGUAGUCAUUGUUGGAACGUUAUUCGUACUAAUUGUUAUUAUCAAGAGGUUAGUGAUUUUACUAUUCACCAUCCUACCAGGUUUGUAUAUGGUACUGCAUAUAUGAUAACAGCUAUGCGAAGGACAGCAUUUUCAUAUCUACCGCUGAUGGUAUGGUUUGAUUUACGCGAUGAGACUAUCCAACAGUUGAAGUGUCCGGAAGAAUUUGUUCAUUAUGGUUCUUGCUAUACCAUUGAAGCGUAUGGAGAAUCAAUUGCUGUUUUCGGAUGUGGUAUUAGAGAGGAUCAUGAGCGGUAUCUUGACAUGUGGACAUUUUUAAGAGACAAGGACUCAUCCAAAUCAAGCUGGGAAAAGAAGCUGGUUAUUAAGAUGAAAAAUGGGUUGUAUACUAAUUUUCCAUUAGGCUUCAGGCUUCUUAGACAAUGGUAAAUAUGUUAUAAGUAGAUUUUCUAGAAAAGAUUAUUCAUUGAAAACCACGUUCCUUUUGUGCGAUCUGGAGUCUCAAAAAGUUUCAAAGUGCCGAUCUCAAAAUAAUACAGGUUGUGAUAUGAAUCCUAAUUGUGUGGAGAGCCUCCUCCUACUCGAUGAAGAUAGCAUAGAUCCUUUUGUGCACUCUGAGGCGGAGUCUUCUUGCGGUUCAAUAUUGUUUACUUUGCAGAAGGAUAUCGGACAUCCAAAAAAGUGUAUGGAAACUGAACUGGGAAAAUCAAGCAAAGAUAUUAGGAGGAAGAAAAGAUCUAGAAGGUAGAGCAAAAGCUGAGUUGAGGAAAUUUUUUAUGACAAAGGUGACUUGUUAUCUAGUUUUCUUACAGAAUUUUAAUGCACUAAUGUUUUGUAAUCUUAAUUUUGUUAAUUCUAGAUCUGCUUUGUUUUAUCCAGUAUUGAUAUCGCAUAUUUAGAGCAUCUCCAACCCUCUUGCCCUGUUAGCUAAAAUAAUUUAAAAAGAAACUCAAACAAUAUAAAAUUUAUCUGAGGCCCCUGUAUUUGAACUUGUUUGCGAUUUUGAAUCAUUUAUUGAUAGUUUAGCCCCUGUUUUAUUAUGUUGUGAUCUAGCGAGACAAUUCUUACCGUACUUUGUGAGCUAUGUAAAGGAUAUCUUUCUUGUUCAUUAUAUCCGUGUUUAUACCAUUCUGAUUGAGCUCUCAAAUAGUUGUGUAAGUCUUGAGCAUGUAAAACUUCGUAGGACUUUACUCAUCGUUACUUAGUCUCUUUGACUGAUCAUGCUAAUUAAAAUCUUUUCCCACUAUUUUUGUUACCCUGAAAUUCAAGUUUCUAAUCUUUAUAUCCGGCCUUUCUCAUUUUGCAGGCGUGAUAAUUUGAAUUUGAAUAAUCUAAAGGCUGAUCCAACGUUGGGGAGGCCAUUGUUGGAUUGAUUGCUUUGCUCCCUCAUUGCAGUCAGUAAUGGUCUAUGAGUUGUUUAAGAUCAUUUGAAUUUCGUCGAAUUACUCCUAAUAUGCACCAUACUUAUUUGUAAUCAAUUCGGAAAUUGUUCCUGUGUGCCCCAUACGCGUAUGUUAUCAGAAAUUGUUGCUUCGCCUUUUCUUGUCUAUGAUAUGAAAUGGCAAUUCUGUAUUGUCAAAGUUGCAAUUCUAUAUUACCAAUGGAGUCUGGUAAAAAAUAUUUGUUGCUGUGAAUGUUGCGCAAUUCAAGUAUAAGCACUCUUCUUAUAUCUUCGAUCUGUGUUGGAAAGAAACAUGUCUUGAUGCUCUUUCUUAUGUAUAUAUUUAUGAAUAUAAGUAGUUGAAUAGAUGAACUAGUUCAUGGAACAAUGAUAUAAUGAUAGAAUAAACCAGCAACGUGCUGUUACAUUUACAGUGUAAAAAAAAUUAACGAAUAUAAGACCAGAACAACCUGAUUAUACUUCACACAGGUAUAUUAAACUACAUCUACUCUCUUAAGGAACUUAUAGGCCAAAAGUAUGCGGAGACUAAAAUACGUGUCAAGCAAUAUAAAAAAAUGUAAAGAAAUGAGAAGGACGGAGAGAGUAUUGUCUAAAGCUAUAGUGUACUGCGAUGAUUUCAUCACUCUGAAGCAAAAGGGUAGAGAAUGGAACGUUUUGUUUAUGAACUUGACAUGUUAUUGUAUAUGUUAGGCACAAGAUUGAAGGUUUAAGAAAAUGUAUCGUGAUCAUCGUGCAUAAAUUCCUUUCCGAGCUUAUGAGAGAAAAGUCUACAAGCAUCCAUACUGAGAUCGAUAGCAGCAGAAAGAGCGAUAAAUAGAGCAGCAUCAGACAUACAAGUUACAUGCUUCACUCCCACCAUAACCGUCGGCUUACUCACCUUUCCUUCGCCUUCCACGGUUGAACCCAUUACAAAUCCCCUGCCUGGAAACAAUGAAGCUAUUCCAGAGUCUUUAACGGUGUUUUCAAUGCUGAAUUGCCCUCCGUUUUGUAAAUUUAUUGUACCUUGAGCAAUGGGAAUGCCGCUAGUUAGGCCAGUGUCAUUGACAAGCUCAAACUUGUACCCCAACCCGUCGAUUGAUCCCCUUUCCCUCCAAGCCUGGAGACGUCCCCAUGGCUUCAUUGAGAGUCCAUGGGGACGAAAAAUGAGCCAAGCACCAGGAUUUGAUCGAGACACACAAUCAGUCCCUGGUGAUGGCACGAAAGGAGUGAUCAUUGAAGCGGAUGCCACAGACGAGCCUAAUAUGUCGUGGAUUGUAAUCAUCCACCCCUUCCUUUCCCUUCCCGGCUUCUCUCGUUCCCCUGAAAAUGUCCUCAUCCAUACUCUCCUGUUCGUCGUGAAAUCUGAUGGAAGAGACCUGAUAGUACACGAUUUCAAGGGCAAACAAUCAGUAACAUUUCACAAAAGCAUUCUUUAAUUAAUUAGGUUAACUAAACUACAUUAAUACAAGUAUAUAAAAAGUCAGAGGGUUAGAUAUUAAAGAUUUGAGCACAGAUCUUUGCACAUGGGAGAGGAAUCAAGCUGGUAGAGGUAGUUGUCCAAGAGAUUAAGACAGUUGGUGAUAGGAUUCCUUAUACUCUUAAUUUGACUGGUCUAACAUACACAAGCUUGAGCAUGAAACCAAACUCUCUAAAUUAAUAAUCUGGUUCUGGUAGAUGACAAACCACUAUCUAGGCAAAUCAUAAGUCAGUGCAAAUGUAGAUUUUCUCAAAUGAACAGAUCAAAGUUCCCUCUGUUUUCUUAAAACCUCACAUGGUGAUGCAUACAACAUUUUAUAAGUCAUGCAAACAUGUGGACUCGGAACUAUUGACUAGUAUGUAUUGUAUGUUGAGAAUUAGUCCAUCUAAAAUCUUAAAGUGUCAUAGAAAAGCCUAUGAUACUAUAUUGGAAACCGGUCCGUCUAAAACCUUAAGGUAUCAGAGGAAGGUCCCAAAUGGAACCUCUUGACGACUCUAAUAGCAUUACAUAUUCUAUUACAUAUUAUAGCUACAUGUUAACCGUACGAUGCAUUGAUAAUUCCUAACUGUUCAAGACCCUUCAAAUGGACUAACUGAAUUGAAUGAUCAUGAAUUCGCAUUGAAUCAAAUUUAUGUUCUGAGGCCCUAAAACAAUUGAGUCAUAUCAUUAUCAAACUCAAGGCAUACACCGGAGAAUUUGAAGAAAAUAGCAUGAUAUAAAAUCCAGAUAUUUAUGUCGAUAUUUACAAGCUGUUCGAUAACAGGAACUUUCGUUAUAACUAGGGACCAUAAAUUUAUAAUUGAGACAAGACAGCCAAUCAGAAACAAGAAAACAAGAACAGGACAUAUAAUAAUGUUAAUGUCAGCUCAGAGUAGCACCAAGAUAACAAAGCUACUAAAAUGCGCAUGAUCAAUCAAGAAAACUCAAACUCACCUUGAUCUAGAGUUCCGAUCAGCACUAAACUUGCAACUAAAAACAGGCUGUCGAAUGUUCCCCUGUAUCUGAAAAACCACCGGACUACACUCCGGUUCACCCCCGAACUGAAAAACGUACCUCGGGUCCGGUUCAGACCGGACCACGACAUGCAACUCAGCAGUACUAGUACUAUUCGCAUGCUCAUUCCCGAGCUUCAACCAGCCAUCUUUAAACACGACAGGUCCUAAAACAACGCUGUCAUCUAGUUUGACACCAACACUAACUUUGCCUAGUAGCUUUCCACUGCUCAGGCCGCAUGUUCUUCCCAUGCGGCCUGUGUAAACAAAGAGCGUGACGUGCACAGAUUUUUCAGAUAACCUACGAAGCGUUGCAGGGUCGAGAUGGAAGCCCGGGAAGGAAGUUGCUGAUGCCGAAGCCUCCGUGGAUGACAGGGGAAUGAGAGUGGUUUGUGAAGGGAAAUUCUUGAGCCGAAGCUUGCAAAAACAAGGCGUUGUCGAAGGGUGCACCCCGGAGCCUGCAGCAGAUUUAGUGGCUAGCGGGAGUUUCAGAGUUAGUGAUUCUACUAUCAGACGUACAAACGGACACGGAUCCAUCGCCGGAAUUUGACACUGAGUGUUGCUUCUUGCUAAACCGAAAAUCGAUCUGAAAAAAUUGAUCGUGUGAGAUGAGAGUGUCGUGAGAAUGUGUGGAAUUAGAGGGGGAGAGAGCCUGGGAAACAUCUAUCUUGCAAUAUAUGGAGCGGAAAUGUAAUAAUUUGGAGGGCUGUUACGUUUGUCGUUUUGUUCGUCUAACGUUUCUUUUUUGUUUAUUUGUUUGUAGUUUAGUUGACGUAAAUAAUACAUUCGCCGCGAGACUUGAUGAUUAUAGGCCAUGCAGAAUGUACAAAUGAUUAGGAGAUAAUUUUGAUGCUCAAAUCCAUUUUCAUAAAAGAUUUUCUACUUAAACAAAUAUGGUAAUAAUUACAUGGGAUUAUUGACGUGAAAUUUUAAGUACUAAUCCUAAAACACAUUUUUUAUUUGUAAAAAAUGAUACACAUCACAUAUCAUAGUAUAUUUGGCUUUGAAUUUAUUUGUUGAAACCGAUUCCUCUAUUAUUGGUAAAUCAAAACAUAUAUAUUCAGUUAUAUAGCGAUUUAACAAAUGGAUUUAAAAUAUUGCUCUAAUACUAUCACGAUGGUCAUUCAAUUUAUUUUUAUCUCGACUAUUUCAAAAUCCUCAGCUAAUACAUGACUCUGUGUGUAUUUAAUUUGAGGAUCGAAUAUCACAUAUAUUACUUGUUGGAUUAAAAUAUAUAUAAAAAACCACUCAUUACAAAUGUGAUUGAACAUACUUUUGAAAAUGGAAUUUUGUUAUAUAUUUGAUAUUUAUUCCAUUAAAACCGUUUGAGUUAAUUUUAUAAAGUGCCUUCUUACUUAAAGUAAAGAAGUGGAGUAGAAGUGAGAAGUAAAUUAAUAAUUAUAAGUUAUUAAAAUUUUUGAAAAAGAAGUAGAAAUUAUAAAGGAAAGCUAGCAUUUUAUACUUCUAACUUCUUUCUCACUAACUUGUUAUUAAAAAUACUUUUAACAUUUUUAUACAAACGACACACAAAAACAUAAAUAAAAAAUAGCAGCAACUUCCGGGCAUGUAAAAGAAUCUAAGAGAAAAAGAAAUUAUGGGGGUGUUUGUUUAGACGAAAUAAAAGCCGCUUCGGGCUUCUUGACCCGUUUGUGUAAAGAAGUAGGGGUCGUUUGGAGGAGCUUAAAAUAAAUGCUUCUUACUUGAAAUAAAUAUGUGGAGUAGAAGUUGCAGGCAAUAUUUAUGGGCCGUUUGAGUGAGCUUAAAAUAAGUGCUUUUUGCUUAAAAUAAAAAAGUGGAGUAGAAGUCAGAAGCAAGUUAAGACUUAUAAGUGAUUAAACUGUUUGGGAAAUAAGCAGAAGUCCUGAAACAAAAGCUAGUAAUUUUAACUUCUUUUAAGCGCUUCCUGACUUUUUACACAAACGGUACAAAUAAGUGUUUAUAAUUUAUAAACCCCGAAGUCGACUUAUUUAUGUGCUGCUAAACACCACCUAAAACUUAUAAGUGAUUAAAGUGUUUGGGGAAUAAGUAGAAGCCCUCAGACAAAAGCUAGCAUUCAUAGUUUUUUAUAAAUGCUUCUUGACUUUUUACACAAACGGUAUGAACAAGUGCUUUUAACUUAUAAACCGAAAAGCUCGGCUUAAAAGUGGCUGCCAAACACCCACGUAGAAGCACUUUUAAAAAACUGAGAAUGCUAACUUAUCUCUCACAGCUUCUACUUCUUUUCUAAACACUUUAUUAACUUAUUUAUUUCUGUCUUCUAUUCCACUUUUUUAAAGAAAAGCUAACAUUUCCUUCUCCAACUUCUUUCUCACUAACUUAUUAAAGAUACUUCUAAUUUUUUAUACAAACGACACUAGAAAAGCAGAAAAAAAAAAACAAGGAACUUCCGUUGGCCAAACAGAGGCCAUGUAAAAGAAUCCAAGAGAAAAAAAAUUAAAAGUACAAGGAAGACUUAUUGGUGAAGAAGGGAAGGGAAUGCACAUAUCAAGUUAUGAACCAAGAAAAAAAAGCCCACAUGGCCGCAUAUUGACCCGAACAUCGCUGGCCUCUGGCUGUCACCACGUUGUGAGAGAGAUACAAUUUUGUUAUCAGUCCCGUCGCCGGAUAUAAACUGUGGUGUGUCAUUUUGUUUAUAUAUAUUUAGUAUAUUACAGAUUGGUUCAUUGAACCAGCUAAAAUAUAGUAAAUCAAUUAUAUAUGUCUAAUUUAUUCCAGGUUAAAAACAGAGAUAUGAACAAGUGUCUGCUGUACUUUAAUACAACAACAAAAAAGGGUCCUCGCCCGGACCAACUUUAUCUGUUUUGGACACAAGCACAGUUGUAUAUAAGUUGAUCAGCUUACUUUGUUUAUUGUUAAUUAAUUUUGUUUAGUAGUUCAGUCAUUAAACUUUAAAAUUAUGAGGUAAUUUAGUGCUGACAUGCUUUCUUAAUUUUCAUUUCUGGGACACCUUUUUUCUCCCGGAGGUUUUAUUCCAAAUUCCGAUUUUACCUCGAUUACAAGAAAUAACGGAAUCAGAAUUGUGAAAUCUGUUGGAGUUUAUAAUAAAUUUUUUGAGAUACAAUGUUACUUGAGAUGAGAAAAAUUGUAUCUUAGCUCAUUCCGCCAGCACUUAUUGUUCAAAGAAUGAAUUCAAUCUUGAGAUUUAAGAUUCAUACUAAGCUGGUUUCUUUGACAGGAAACAGGGGAUAAUUUGUCGUUAACGUACCAUCUUUCAAAUCUUUGGCCUUUAGCAUAUGUAAAUUAUAUGACUAUAUAUGUAAUCAAAAGUGUGAGUUGAAAACAAAAGAAUCCCCAAGAACUUAUCAGCUACUAAUUUAAUAUUUGAUUGCAUGCUGUGCACAGCUUGGGUCAUUUGAAGAAGAAAAAAAGACAUUUGUCUGUGUUUUCUUUGCAGCAACGUUCGGGUACCUGACAUACGUAUUUUAGUAGUAUAUAUUCACUGAAAAAGAAAAUGAUGGACAGCUUAAUUCUAAAUUUUUGAUAUACAUACAAGGGUGCUAGAGUAUCAUUAAGCAGGAGCCUCAUCCUAGAAUUUUCACGUUCGGCAUUUUUUUCCGCUAAAUAUAUACUAGUAUUAUCCGUAUGUUUUGGAUGAGUUGCCUUGUCCUAAUGCAUGUAUGACUGUAUUGUCAAUUUUUAUGAUACCUUCUACAUAUUCUACAGCCUUGCAUAUGUAAACUAUGUACUUUUAAAUUUAAGUUCCAAAUGUAAGCCUGGACUAAAGUAGGAUUAUUUAGAUUGGGGUAGAUUUGAGAUUGAAUGUUUUGUCCUCUGUCCACCUCUAGUUCCCUGCAGAUGCAGAAACAACUUUGCAUUUACAGAACUCUCGGUUACUAUCCAAUGAAUUGCAAAACAUCAAUAGACAAUAGUACAUAAUUGUAAUAUUCAUAACCCAAAAAACAUAUCAUAAUAUCAUGCCAAGUUUGUCAUUUAUCAAGCCUUCUCAGACUAUUUGCAGAAAUGAAUGAACAGUAAUGCCAAUACUCCAGACUUGACAAUUGUAGAUGAUGGAAUUCCGUACUUCCCUUUAGCAAACAAUCCCUUCAAGAACACCCAAUAAUAUAACACUAUCCAUAAACUACAUAGCAGCUCUCCUAUCCCGGCUUCGUUGUUCUGUGGAGAGGUCGUUAGGAAACGCGACAUUCCAAUCCCCAGAGCAGUCAAGUUAACCAACAAAAUAGUUGUCCCGGGUAGAAAGAUUAGCGACUUGCUGAAAGUGAAUUUUCCAGGAUCUUUAUUCUUCAUAUCUUUGUCAUAGGUAGGGGUUGGAACUUCAAAUGCACUUGAAGAUAAGCCUAUGAGCUUUGGAAAAACGGAUAAAGUUGCAAACAGCCAUGACGAAGUGCUAGUUAUCCUUGCCAUUUGUUGGUGGUUCCACCAUGCACGAGUAGAUAAACCAAUUGCAAGGUACUCAGACAAUGUGCAUAAAUUAAAUACCAAGAAAACCUCGAUAGGAAUGAGAAUAGCCAGCUCAGAUACCUGCAUGAUCAUAGCACGAAUGAAAUACUAAAUUUUCUGAGAUUUUUCAGAGAAGCUACCUGUAUAUUUCAGAUACAAGUACCACUAGGUAUCAAUUCAAAAUGCUUUAUUUUACCUCAGGCAAGAAACGUGAGCCGCUGAUAAUACAAUAUGCAGGCAGAAGAGAGUAGACUAACUCAGGAAUUGACCUUAAACUCCAAGUCAGAAGCCACAUGUAGGCAAGGCAUUGCCUUAAUGAAAGGUUUCCGUUAAGGGUAUCUGAAAUUGGCCUCAUGGAACUGAGGAAAAUUUCAAGAGGCACAGUAGCCCAUCUCUUCGAUUGAAUCAUCGUGCCAGGUACUGUUGAUGCAGCACAUCUUAGGAAGGAUGCUGGUUCAGUCGCACAAUACAUAGAUUUCCAUCCCUUUCUAUGGAUUCCAAGUCCGGUUAGAAUAUCCUCUGACUGAGAACCAUAUUUCCAUCCAACCUGAUUAUUUGAUAUCAAAACAAAAGGGAUAGUACAGUAAAUCUUGAAAAAUUAAAGCUAUGCUUAUAUGUUACAGAGUAUUGGUCUUGGUGAAAUCAUGAUGGAAUUUUUUGUGAAGAAAGCUAAAAGUACCUCUGUGCCCCAGCAGGUACCAUUUUCAUAGUCACAAACUGCAACAUGGUGUGUACCUUUGACAAAGCUCGAAACUGUACAUUUAAGCGACAUGGAUGCUGAUGUGGAUGCUGAUAAAACACGUGCAACUGAUUCCUUCAACAUACUUGAUUGUCCAAACUUUCUUUGCAAAUUCAAAUCACUGAGUUCACCUUGAAAAGGAAAGAUGGCAUAAUAGAGCAAGAACACAAGACCAUAUAAUAAAAUAAUUUCAACAAUUUAAACCUGUUUGACAUACCAGUGGUAAUUUUUUGAUCUGGUGAUAAACCAUAAAUAACUUUUCUUUUGAAAAAACAAUUUGAUCCAAUGUACGGUGGUCCUUGGAUUCCUGCUGUUCCAUGCCCGAAAAACUGCACAUUUUAUACAUAAGAACUUUAUACUCUGCUAAUUUAAGUUAAAAUUUAUUGUCAAUCUUAUAAACAGGGCAACCUCAAGCCUGUGUGAGUUGAAAUUUGCCAAAGCAAACUUAAACUAAAUCAGAAUUUAAAAAAAAAAAACUUAUAAAAUCGAACUAGUACUUACUUUGAACAAGACAUCAUAGUGAUUUUCAAAAGGGUCAUCUUUUAUGUUGUGACAGAAUCCUGGCUCGAAUUGAACAUAUGCGCAAUCUUCUUCAUUCUCAACUCCAAGAAACAAGCACAUAGCAUGGAGAAUAACUUGUGGAUUGUUCACGUACAUAUCACAGUCUACGUGUAGUAUAAAUGGUGCAUUUGUCAUCAAUCCUGAUACUCUUGUCUGUGCGGCAAGAAAAUGUUUCAUGGAUCACCACGUAUCAAAAGUUACUACUAUAACAAGAGUUUAAUCUAGAAUAACACCAGCAUUAUAUAUUUCUUGUUUGAAUAAUAGACAACAUUUGCUGAACUCGUAAAGUUUUAUGUACCAGAGCAUUUAGAGCGCCAGAUUUAAAAUGAUGUGGCUUCUCUCUUGAGAUGUACACCAUAUGAGGUACACCUUUCGCGGUUAUAAUCUGCAAAAUGCUUUAUAUGUAAGACGGUAAGAGUAUAAUUGUAUAUGUUUUAGUAGUUUUGAAUUGAUAUAUAGUCUGUAAUUACCUUCACUAUCGAGCCAUGAUUCUUUUUGUUCAACUCUGGCAAAUCACUGGAAGGAGCAAGCGCCGCAUCUUCAAUUUUCUUGCAAAACAUUUCAUAAAUAUCCUACAAAAACGCAUACAAAUAAAUGAUAUUAAAGAACUUAUACACAUCAACAUUCACCUCUAGCACAAUCCGUCCAGUGGCGGAUCUAGGAUUAUUUUAUUAGGGGACACCAAGCAAAUUUUCAAAGAACACUAAUACAUUUUCAAAUUUUGUGGGGACACUUUUAUAAUUUUGUAAAAUUUAGAAUGGAAAAAACAUUCUAAAAAACAAUUUAGGGGGAACGCGUCCUCGUGUCUCUUACUAGAUCCGUCCCUGAAUCCGCCUCUGUCGUAAUAGUGAGAGUUAAAAAUUAAGAAGAUUAUAUAGAUGAUUGUAAUAUUACCUUAACCAAUUUCCAUUCAUAUUGAAACUCCAAGGACUCUUCUCGAGAUGGCCCUGAGGUAGUAGCAAAAUAUCGAAAUGGAGCCCUGACACUGAUAUCAUAUUUCUUACAAAAAGGAAGCCAAACCCUGGCGAAUUUUGAAGUUUCAACAAGAGCGUAAUACAGUAAAGGCGAGGCGUUGUCAUCAGAUAUAUAGCAUGCUAAUUUCUCAACAGGAUAAUCGACUGCCAUCGAUGAUAACACAGUGUUCAUAGUUAUUAUUGGCGAUUCAAGCUCAUCAUCUGCAGUUGUAACAAAAAUAUCCACAGCUGGUAGCUCAUUUUUCCUGCAGCCAAUGAGUAAAAAGCAUUAACAAAAAGUAUAAAUCAUCUAAAAUUUUGGCAGAAAUAAUAUACACUCUCUGUCCACCCAGAUUCUUUAGCUUGGGGACGGGACUUGCCAUGACUUCUAAGUUUCACAAAUUAUUUCAAUUUUUUUUAAUAAUAGCUAAAUGUUUAAAUAUUUAUACAAAAAAUGAUAACUUUAAAAAUAAGUUAUGAAACUAUGAAAACUGUAAAAAAAUUAGAGGGACGGGGGAGUUUUGUACUAACUGUUCUAAGAGUCGAUCAGGAUAUUGCACGUAUUUGAUCGGAUUCCAUUUGAUAUUGAGAACGAGAAUCCACACGUAAGUAAAGAAGGACUCGCACAGAAAGGCCAGGAGAACAGGAAUUCCGUAUUGCUUAAUCGAGAAAAAGUGAUAAGUGAGAAGCGAGAAGAGAAGGAAGAGGAGCAGAAGCUCUAGUGCUAUAGAUUUGUCGCUUCGGAGGCUAACUCUUUGAAAGAGUGGCAGAGAGCUCUGCUUUGCCAUUGUUCAACAAAGUUUUGGUCUCAGAGCGUUCAGAAAAGAAAACGAGAGAAUGCGUUCUCGUUUCUAAGGCCGACUAGAUUAUAUAGGAGAUUUUUGAAUUUCAAAUAUGCAGGAAUAUUCAAAUAAUUCGACAAAGAAAUAAUAGAUUACUUCUUAAAAUGUUACCGAGACAAAUUGUGUAAUCUUGAUUUUCAUUUUUGAUAUCGGUCAUACCGUUAUAAUGUCUCGUCUAAUUUUGAUUUCCACUUCUGACACUUUUGAUAUCGGUCAUACCGUUAUAAUGUAUCGUGUAAUCUUGAUGUACACUUCUUGUAUCGGUCAGACCGUUAUAAUGUGAUAUUUGAUUUGCUAAUGAUGAAGUAAUCGAUGACUAUUCUAAUAUAUAUGAAAUUAUUUCGAUCUGCAGUACAUUUGACAUCACUAUGACGUCUGAAAUAUAAAUUUUUGUUCGGAGGUAAUCAUCGCACAAAGUUUUCAAAACAGCUAUAUAAAUGACGUUACUCAACUAAAGAUGAAUACUAUAAGUCCGUGACCUGUUGAAAAAAUUAUGUAUAUAAAUUUAUACAAAUUGCUAGAAAAAAAAUAUUUAAGAGAAAAUUUAGUAAAGGGACAAUUAACUUUCCAGUUUUCACACUUAAAUAAUUCAUAUUUAUGGUACAAAAGCUUCAAAUCAAUAAAAAUAAGAUUCUGUUUGGCUGGUUUAUGACCCGGGUUUUAAGUAAUUUUCAAUUUUAAGCUAAAAAAAUUUUAUUUGCUAAAAAACGUCUAUUUGUAUAAUAAGUCAUAAGCUUAUUUUGAGUUAAAAAUAAGUUAAAAUCGGACUUAAAAUCAGAAGUUGGUAGAAUAUAUUUUUCAAACAACUUAUUUUUUUUACUAAUUUUUCAAUAAAAAUAAAUUUCAUCACUUAGAUAGCCUAUAAAAACUAUUUUUAUUACUAUAUAUUUUUAUUAAUCAUACACCAUCUAUAAUACAAAUACCCAAAUAGAUAAUUUAAACUAUACACUUAUCACAAUAAGUCAAUAUAAAUCAUACAAAUAUUGUGAAUUUGUGAUGCAUGCAUGCUCAGAUCAUGUCUGGAGAGUGGAGAGGCUUGUCAUGCAUUUGUAGACCAUAUGCAGAACUGAGUGAACAGUAAUGCCAAUACUCCAGACUUGACAAUAGUAGAUGAUGGAAUUCCAUACUUCCCUUUUCCAAACAAUCCCUUCAAAAAUAUCCAAAAAUAUAACACUGCCCAUAAACUACAUAGCAGCUCUCCUAUCCCAGCUUCAUUGCUGUGUGGAGUGGUCACUAGCAACCGUACCAUCCCAAUUGUAAGAGCUGUCAAGUUAACUAACAAAAUCGUCGUACCUGGUAAAAAGAUCAGCGAUUCGCUAAAAGUGAAUUUGCUGCAAUCUUUAUUUUUCAUAUCUUUGUCGUCGUUUAUGGAUGGGUUCUUUGCUGUUACAUCAAAUGCGCUUUGAGAUAAACCUAUGAACUUUAGAAAUAUAGUAAAAAUUGCAAACAGCCAAGACGAUGUGCAAUUUAUCCUUGUAAUUCGCUGAUUGUUCCACCAUGCACGAGCAGAUAGACCAAUUUUAAGGUACUCAGAGAGUGUGUGUAUAUUAAAUAUCAAGAAAACAGCAACAGGAAUGAGAAUAGCCGGUUCAUACACCUGCAUAAUUAUAAUUCUCUGAGUUUUCCACAGAAGCUACAUUCAAAUUUUGAAUAGACGGAUGAUUCGAUAUCAGAUAUAAUUUUACCUUGGGCAAGAAGUGUGAGCCGCUGAUAAUACAAUAUGCAGGCAGAAGAGAGUAGACUAACUCAGGAAUUGACCUUAAACUCCAACUCAUGAUCCACAAAUAGGCAAGGCAUUGCCUGAAUUGAAGCUUUCCAUGAAUGGUAGCUGAAAUUGGGCUCAUCGAGCUGAAUAAAAUUUCGAGAAACCCAGUGGCCCAUCUCUUUGCUUGGAUCAUUGUGUCAGGUCCUGUUGUUGGAGCACAUCCCUGGAAGGAGACCGGGUCAGUCGUACAAUACAUAGAUUUCCAUCCUUUUCUGUGGAUUCCAAGUCCAGUUAGGACAUCCUCUCAUUGGGAACCAUAUUUCCAUCCAACCUAAAUAUUUAAUUUCAAAAGUAAAAAUAGUAAGAUAAAUGUUGAGAAGAAGUUAAACCAGAAAAUUACUUCUAAAAAAAUGAUUAUAUGUUGUGAAUAUUGAAUAAAUCAACAUCAAAUAUAAUUUCCUUGCUGCAGACUAUAAAAUGCAGGAUCUCGCAUGCAUGUCCUUAACAGAGCAUUGUUUUUAGCGAAAUCAAGAUAAAAAAUUUCUUGAACAAGGCUAAAGUACCUCUGUGCCCCAGCAGGUACCAUGUUCAUAAUCACAACCUGCAACACGGUGGGCAGCUUCUACAAAGCUUGAAGAUCCACCUUUAGACGAUAUUGACGGUAAUAAAAUAUGUGCAACUGAUUCCUUUAACGGACUUGAUUCUCCAAACUUUCUCUGCAAGUCCGGAUCACUGAGUUCGCCUUGACAAAGAAAUAUGGCAUAAAAGAGCAAGACUGUGUGGUAAAACAUAUAAGAACACUGUAAACAACCUACACCUAUUUCACAUACCAGUGGUGAUUUUUUGAUCUGGUGAAAUCCCAUAAAUAACUUUUCGCCUAAGAAAACAAUUUGUUCCGGUGUACAUAGGUCCUUGAAUACCUGCUAAUCCAUGCCCUACAAACUAUACAGUUUAUACAUAAAAAUUAUACUCCGCCAGACUGCAGUUUAUUUUAUAAUCAAUUGUCAAGAUUCUGAACAUAAAAAAUCAAGCUAAUGUUAUCACCAAAGCAUACUACAAACUGAAUCAGAAUACAAUUCAUAAAUAGAAACAAACUAGUACUCACUUUGACCAAGACGACGUAUUGGUUUCCAAGAGGGUCAUCCUUUAUGCCGUCAUAAAAUUCUUGCGGGAAUUGAACAUAUGCGCAAUCUCUUUCAUUGCCGACGCCAAGAAACAAGCACAUAGCAUGGAGAACAACUUGUGGAUUGUUCACGUACAUAUCACAGUCCACGUUCAGUAAAAAUGGUGCAUUCGUGAUUAAUCCUGAUACUCUUGUCUGUGCAGCAAGAAUACAAUUUAAGUUGAUAAAAUUUUGAGAAAUACACAAACAUUAAUUUCAUUUUCUUUCUUUUUUUAAUGAAAUAUAGUCCAAAAUAUAUUUUUGUUGCUUUAAGUUCUGGUUUUAAUUGUACCAGAGCAUUCAUAGCACCAGCUUUGAAAUGAGAAGGCUUCUUUGGACGCUUCUCUCUCGAGAUAUACACCAGACAGGGUACACCUUCCUCCUCAGUAAUUAUCUUUACGAUGGCGGGAUGAUUAUUUUUAUCCAUCUCUGGGAAAUCAUUACAAGGAGCAUGUGUUUUUGACGCAUCUUCAAUUUUUUGGCACAACAUUUCAUAGUUAUCCUGUAAAACAAUGAAUAGAUAAAUUGAUAUCAGAAGGUAUAUGCAAUCAACAUUCUCUUCUAGCGCAAAUCUGUUUCUGUUGUAAACUUAAUAGUUGAAAAAUAAGAGAAGCAUAUAGAUGCUAAAAUUAUCCCAAACAAGAGAUUUAUGCUUCAUGUGUGUGAUAUUACCUUAACCAUUUUCUGCUCUUGUUGAAACUCCGGGGAAUUUUCUUGAGAUGGUUUGGAGGAGGUAAUAGCAAAAUAUCGAAAAGGAGCUCUAGUACUGAUAUCAUAUUUCUUACAAAAAGGAAGCCAAAUCUUGGCAAAUUUUGAGGUUUCAACAAGAGCAUAAUAUGUUAAAGGUGAGGCACUUUCGUCAGACAAGUAGCAUGUCAAUUUCCCAACUGGAUAAUCAACUGCUAGCAAUGAUAAUACAGUGUUCAUAGUCAGUAUAGGUGGUUCUAUUCCAGCAUCUGCAGUUGUAACAAACAUGUCUACCGCUGGUAGCUCAGUUUUCCUACAGCCAAUAAUCACAACGCAUUAAGAUGAUAUAAAAAUCAUGAAUAUGCAAAGUGGAAAAAUUUUCAGCAAAAUUGAGCCUGAUCAUUUUUGCAAAUAGUAUCAGCAGCUAUAAGUACGCAAUAUAAAUUGUUGCGAGUCUAUCUCACUAAGGCUGACUUGAAGGAGAGAUAAUUAAUAUACUAUAUACUUAACCGUUUCAAAAGUCGAUCAGGGUAUUCAACGUAUUUGAUUUGAUUCCAUUUGAUAUUGAGAACAAGAAUCCAUAUAAAAGUAAAGAAGGAUUCGCACAGAAAGGCUAAUAGGGCAGGAAUUCCGUAUUGUUUCAAGGAGAGGAGGUGGUAGGUGAGGAGUGAAAAGAGAAAGAAGAGGAGCAGAAGCUCUACUGCUAGGUGUUUUCUGUUUCUAAGGUUAACUCUUUCAUAGAGUGGCAGAGAGCUCUGGUUUGCCAUUUUUCAACUAUAUUACUUAUCCGUUUAUACGCGGAGCACCCAAACCAUUAGAGAAAAAUGUGGUUACAGGAGUAAGGUUGGAUCCUAGAGGUGCCGGAGCUUAUAAGUCUUCAUUUUUUAAUUUGUAAAGCUUACAGUGCCCCCAUCUAGAAGACUAGGACUGGCUUAGUGAAGUUGUGGGCAGUAAUUUAUAAGGACCGAUAGUAAAAUGAAAAAUGGUCAAGAAGGAUAGAAGAAUGAUAAGACAUUCGAAACUAAGAUAAUGUAAGUGACAUUGUCACCCUUACCAGAAAGGCACGUUAUCACAGGGUUUGGUUAUAUGCAGACUCCACUCGAUGAUGACAGGAACCGUAAUUUGACAACAUUUAAAUGGCAAAAUACUCUACCGGUAACAUCUUAAACAAAAUUUCAGUGUCUGCUACGAAGAAAUUAGACCUGGCUAGUGUUAAAUUAUCCUCCAGGUCAAAUGUACUGUGAGCAGUUUUCAGCCAAACACUAGCUCGUGAGUCGUGACCAUAAUAUACCUUGUGCCGGCCGUGCCGAACAGUACAAGUUGUUAGUGGAAACGAUACGUAUAAGUUGUUGAAAGAACAAAUAUGAAGUAUACUGAUAAUGCAUUGCAAAAUAUGUAGCACGUAAGAGAUCUACACUAGAAAAUUGUUAUACCGUGAAAAGUUUGUAGUACAGUUGAAUUCAGGUGAGUUGAAUUUGGACAUAGAACGAAUACCUGGCAUGCAGCAACACAGAACAUAUAAGCACGCACGCAUUAAUAACGGUUGGGGGCUAUCUCAACCCUACUCUUCGUUUUAUCGUGAGUACCCGUGUCGGACAGUCAGUACUUGGACAUGAUAUGAACAUUCGAACACUUAUUUUAGGUCAAAAACAUGUAAAAAUUUUAAAAUGUUGUGAAGUCCUACACCCGAAAACAUAUUCAUGUUGGACACUUUUAGCCGAAUACCGGUAAUAUAGUUUAGUGGAAAUGGCUGCAGUGAUUUUCAGGAAGUAUACAAUGCAAGGAGCUGAUCCCUCGCCAAAGUCCGUGAUCUUAUCUGGCAUAAAUUUUCAUGUCAUUGGAUCAUAAAUGGUUUUAGUGUUGUUCUACUUUUACCGGAGCUUAAUGUUUUCUUUUUUCGGAAUACAAUAAAAAUGAGAUUGCUAAAUAAGAAUCGGAUUAAAGUCACUGUUAGUCCCUCCCGUCUAUUUUUCUUCUCUGUGUCUUCUUCUUCACUUCUGUGCAUCAAUUGUUUCAAGACUUUUCCACAUUAAUUCAUUGAUUUCUGAGGGAGACGUGCACAAUCCUUAUCGGGGAACAUUCUCUCUUCUUUACGUACCUGGCUUAAUUGAUAUUUUCCUCUCUGCUUAGAAAUCAUAAACUUCUUCUGGCACAUGGGCGUUGAUUUCCUUUAACAUCAUAUUCGAGACGGAUUCAAUUUUAAAGUUAUCAUCUUCUGAAAAACAUUCAAAUCAUUCAAUUGGUGGAGGACUUUACAACACACGUAAGUCCCAUGCAACAAAAUCAUGAGUGCAGGUAAGUCCCAUUUGAAGAAACCGUGGACUAAGAUUUUAUAUUUAUAUUGUAUCAGGCACUAUUUUAUUAUUGUGCACUAGGGGUCUCACGGAUCUCACGGAAACAGACUAUCUAUUUUAAUGGUAGAGAUAUAAUCUGGGUACAUUUUACUCUCUUCGGACCUUGCUUUAAGUAGUAUAUACUUAACACGUUUGGUUUAAUAAAAAAAUUUGGUGGCAGAGUUCACGUCCACAAAAAUAAAUCGUAUGGAAAUAGUAAAAUAGAAUUUAUACAAAAUUUAACAUCUAAUUAAAAAGCAUUCGAAAAUGUCUCUAAAAAUUUAUAUGAAAAUGGAACCAACUGAUUCUGAGGAAUUUAUAUCCUAUAAUAAUUUAAUAGGGUAGUAUACUUGAUCCGAAUCCAACCUGCACCAUCCACGGAUAAUAUAAACACGAACGAGCCAUUAUAAAUUUUAACUAAUCAGAGCUAAUAGAUAAUACAAAUAUAUAUAAUUUAAAUAUUUACGCAUAUCCAAAAUUUAAAAUUAAAUAUAUAUAAUUUGGGUUAACCAGAGGGGUAAGGUGAGCAUAACCGGAUAUCCAGUCCGGUUAUGAAAUAUAAACUGGAUAUCUGGUUUUUCGAAUCACUAAAUUUUCAUUUCGGUUCCGGUUUAAGCGGAUAUCCGGAUAUUCGGAUAUCCUCUUAAAUCGGAUCGGAAAACAGAUUAUCUGGACCCGGUUUCUUCUAAAAAUUUUUUUGAAUAUUUUCUGAUCUUACAAAUUUGUGACGUUUGACUUUAUUUUUAUUUCACAAGUAUAAAACGAAAAUCAAAUAGUAUAAGUAUAAAUCAAUUUGAACAAAAAAUAAGCGGUGACCAGAUAAUCUACCACCAAAAAAAUGUUGCAGUUGUACAUUAAGUUUGCUUUUAAGCAAGUCAGCAAUGUCCGAGAAUUAACAUUUAACAAUCAUUGCUGGUCUGCUCUUGCAAGAAAAACUAGUAUAUAGGAGUAACAGGCAAGGAAUAACAUAUACAAUGUUGCCUAUGUUCAAGAACAUAUCUAAAAUGAUCUGUAUCAUAAAAUUUUAUUUUUGAUGGACUCAGAAAAUAGUACUAACUCUUAAUAGUCUAUUUAAAAAAAAUUUAAAAAGUAUUAUAUAUUAUAUAUUAAACAAUAUUUUUUAAUUAAAAUUAAUAAAAUCGGAUCGGAUCCGGAUAUCCGCUUUCUUAUGUAUAUGUGAUCCGUAUCCGUAUCCGAAUUUAUAUAAAAAAAAACCGGAUCGGAUAUCCGGUCCGAUUUAUCUGGAUCGUAUAUCCGGUCCGAUUUAUCCGGAUCGGAUAUCCAAAUUUCCGGAUAUUUUAAAUCGGAUAUCGGACCGGAAAAUCGGAUAAUCCGGAUUUCGGAUUUUCAUGCUCACCCCUAGAAUUACCCGAUAAUUGAUCCGUUCUUUUCAGAUUAAUUGUAUCAAUCUGAAUUUAACCUAAGCUCGAAAUUUUCUGAGCCCAAUUAAUAUUUUGCGGUCGAAUUAAAAAGAUUCGGUUUUACUUCUUUUCGGAUGAUAUCCCUACUAGUGUACAAACUGGGCUGACUAGAAAUCUAUCAAGCCCAUCAAAAACAAACCGGGCCAUUUCCAUAAAAAGUACGUGGUCUAACCGGAUCCGGUCCGAUUUAUCUGGAUCGUAUAUCCGGUCCGAUUUAUCCGGAUCGGAUAUCCAAAUUUCCGGAUAUUUUAAAUCGGAUAUCGGACCGGAAAAUCGGAUAAUCCGGAUUUCGGAUUUUCAUGCUCACCCCUAGAAUUACCCGAUAAUUGAUCCGUUCUUUUCAGAUUAAUUGUAUCAAUCUGAAUUUAACCUAAGCUCGAAAUUUUCUGAGCCCAAUUAAUAUUUUGCGGUCGAAUUAAAAAGAUUCGGUUUUACUUCUUUUCGGAUGAUAUCCCUACUAGUGUACAAACUGGGCUGACUAGAAAUCUAUCAAGCCCAUCAAAAACAAACCGGGCCAUUUCCAUAAAAAGUACGUGGUCUAACAAGUCGAGAGAGAACAAGAAAAUUCUAGACUCAUUCAUUUGGAAUUCUCCAGCCACCGAAACUCAACUCAACAACUAUAUCUCAGUCCACGUACUCCAACCAAUCACAAUUUAACAUUUCAAUUAUUAAAUAAAAAUCCAUUCAAACAAAUCAAUUAAUCAACAAAUAAACAAAAUAUAUAUAUUCACUUCAUUCUUGUUCAAUAAGUUAUUUUCAGUUUGCACAACUCAGAUCGCACACGCUUCAUCUCUUCCACUUCAACAAUGUCUUCCCCUGGCGAGUAAGCUUUAUAUUCUCUUCAAUUACACACACAUUAUAUUUGUUAAUUUCUUUGUAUGCAGUAAAUUUGUGUGUGAUUGCGAUUUUUCCGCUGAAUUCUUGAGGUUUAAUGAGGAUGUUGUGAUUGAAGUAGCAUUAGAGCUUAGGCCUAAUCACAGUAUAUUAAAUUUCUUUUCGGUGAUAGUCUAGCGAUAAAGGCUUAUCAUAUAUCCUGGUCCCAGGUUAUGUGUUCGAUUCUUUAUUGCGGGAAUUAUUUUGGAGUUGGAAAAACUAUAUUAGCUCAUAGGAUUUAGUAAGAAAAAUAGUAAGUUUGUAACAUGAUUAAUAACUUGAUAAGUGAAAAUGAUAUCGUAUUUAAUUGAUUGCUGGUUGUUUGAUUAGAUGUCGGAAUUAUCCCUGUUUAUGUUCUUGCAUCAGUAGGAGAAAUUAGUUUCGGUUUUAUACAGUAGUAAAAGCUCAACGGACAUUUUACAAUUAUAUGUAAGUAGUUGUUUUCAGAUGAAUUAAAGGUAUAUUAGAAUUGUAAUGUUGUGGUUUAUGCCGAGUUGUGGGUAAUAGAGUUGUUGUAUCAGUUUAUAAGUAAUUGGCUGAAGUUGAACGGUUGAAAGUUUGUUGAAUUUAAAAGAUUAGGAAUAAUGCCUACUGAUCUCAGUUAUUUUGAAAGUUUAGGCUAGAAAUGUAUAUAUACAGAAUCUCAGGAGCAAAGUUACGUAAAUAGACAUUUAGCUGAAGCCUGCUGAUAAGCCUUAAAGGAGGUAUUUUUUCUCAAAUUUAUGCAUUGUUAAAGGUCCAUAUGCCAAAACCAGCGACAAAUAUAAAAUGGUACAGUGUAGUAGACAGUAGACUGGUAGUUUACACAAUGACUGCUACGAAAGAAAGGAGAAAAAUGAGAUGAACACUGGGGGAUUUUUUUUUUUUUAUGUUGGAUCAGGAGACAUAAGUAAGACCAUGUUAGAUAUAACUCUAUUCAGGAUUUGUAGCAGCCCUUAUAGAACAUUGGUGAUUACAGUAAGGAGAUUUUCUAUUUAUAGAAUUUAGUUACAUAGGAGGUACCCAAAAGGAAAAGCAAAAGAAUUUGAUAUGCAUAUUGUUUUCAUCUAUAAUCUAUGUAGAGCUGUGGUUAUAUCAUGGUAACAUUGUUUAUGAUAUCCACUGCUACUCUUGUUUUCACACUCUUUUUUCUUUUUCUCUAGAUGGUAUAACUCACUUCCACCUAUAAGCAAAGCUUAUGGGACAUUGUGUUUAGCAACUACUAUAGCAGUUCAGAUUGGGGUCCUUGCUCCUGGUUUUAUAGCAUUGGCAUAUGAGUAUGUAUUUUACCGUUUUCAGGUAAUAAUCCAACUCACCGCCAAUGUUAUUAUCAGCGCUAACGUACUGUUGGCUUAUUUGUUUUUAAAGUUCUAAACCUGAAUACUGUUUUCUCCCUCUUCUAAUUCAUUUUUAUAAUGUAAUAGAUAAUCAUAUCAUGAGGGUAUACAAGUGUGAACUAUAGUCAUUGUUCUGGUUACUAUUAUAAGUCGAAUUUGUAGUUAUGCACUUCAUUUUAUGAGCUAUCGUUAUAUCUUGUGGCAGAAGGAUGUAAUAUUAAAGAUAUGAACCUAUUCCUCGGAGCAGAAAAGUAGUCUUAAAUGGACAUUAUAGCUAUAAUUGACCCUAGAAGUCAACUUAUUUUGAUAUCUAAGGGCUUUUCCAUAUUAGUUUGUUUUCUUAAUCCUUUUGUACCAUGUCUAGUUUGACAUGUAUAAUUAUUCAUUUUUGGGUAAAUCACUUGCAGGUAUGGAGGCUUUUUACAAACUUCUUUUUCCUUGGCGGUUUUUCUAUUAAUUUUGGCAUUCGACUUUUGAUGCUGUAAGUACUUAUAAUUUAAUAUCAAGCACAGUAUCUAUUUAUGUAGUUACCCUAAAAACUGACGUAGUUGCAAUGAGUUAUGGAAUGAAAUUGAAUUUUUAUCAUUGCACUAUCUCACCUGUGGUUGCUUCUUGAUUAAUUAGAGCAAGAUAUGGAGUACAGUUGGAGAAUGGGCCCUUUCAACGGCGCACUGCAGAUUUCUUGUGGAUGAUGAUAUUCGGAGCAUUGACAUUACUGGUUGGUAAACUAUAUAUGUGAAUUGUGAUUACGGCAGAAACCUAUAUUUGUAUAUCUGUUGGGGGUCUACUGGAAAAAUCUGCCAUUACAAUGCUGCAGCUGAAAACUGUCAGCCAACCUGACUACACAUGUCAAAUACUAAGUUAACAUUGAGUUGCAUUAGGAUCAAUUCAAAGGUCAUGACUGGAAAUCUGUUUCUUUCCCCUUCUAUUUUUUAACUCUUGUUUAAUUGUCCAUUUUCUAAUAUGUUAUUGAAUUGUUUUUUGGUUGCGCACAAGUUUUUUUCAUGCUGACUCCCAAAAUUUUGCUUUCUUGUCACCCCACUUAAAAAGUUGAAAUACAUGCAUGCAGCCAGUGCAAAGUAACUAAAAACACACAGUAUAUGAAUAAUGGAAAUAGUCUACACAUCUUGUGUAGUGUUGCAUUUUCUUUAAUUUAUAGCGUGUUAGGUUGGAGUGGGUUUUAUGUCUUAAUAUUCAAAUGUUGUAUUGCAUGUUCAGUUUUUAAGCUUUAUGCAUAUUCAUCAUUUUCAAACUUUUUCUGGUAAUGGUGUCUCUACCAUUUUAAAGAUGCUCGUUUCAUCUUUUUGUUUUAAUAUUAGAUUAUUGUCUGUAUGUUAGGCAUUGUCUGCUAUCCCCGGGUUCCAGUCCUACUUCUUGGGGAUAUCGCUGGUAUUUAUGCUUCUUUAUGUGUGGAGUAGAGAAUUUCCCACGGGCAACAUUAACAUAUACGGGCUUGUAACACUAAAGGUAUACAUAUCUAUAUAUUUUAUUUGUAUGUUAACAACAAGAAUCUAUUAUCUGUUCAAGUACUAUCCCUUGAGCUUAUGCUUUAUUUUAUAUUUAUUGUGGAUAGUUGCAUAUUUAUGUAUUAUGUGCAGGCUUUUUAUUUACCUUGGGCAAUGCUUGCGAUGGAUGUUAUUUUUGGUUCACCACUUGUGCCUGAUCUGCUGGGUAUUCUUGCUGGACAUUUGUACUACUUCUUGACUGUGUUGCAUCCACUAGCUGGUGGAAAGACUAUGCUGCAGACUCCGAUGUGGGUGUAUCCUUUUGUUUGUUUAGUAAGGAGUAAGAAUCAUAAGUUCAUGAGUUCUACAAAGUGAUUUCUGUUAUGUGCAUUUGAAAUGUGCAUCAUUCAUGCCUGACUUAGCAUUUUCUUGCAUAAUUCAUUGGUUGCAUUUUAGUCGAAGGUGAUACUUUAGGCAUCAUGGGUCAAAGGCAUUGAGUGUCCAGGGGAGGGGCACACAAUUGUUUAUACUUUAUAUUAUAAAUUGUUCAUGUAGCAGCAUUGAACAGAAUUAACCUAAUUUAAUGUCACAGUUACAUUUCGAUUUCGGCCCUGCUGAAUAUUUACACUUUUUAGAUAGUAAUAUAGUAUACAAUUUAACAGAAUUAACCUUAUUUACUGUCACGGGACAGUUAGGCCCUGCUGAAUAUUUGUUUGCAAUUUGGUCCUUGUUAAUUUUAAAAUUACAGGUGUAAUUUGUUUCUCCCUUAACACUAUUUUUGGCUUCUCCAUUGUUAGGCAUUGCACAUUUUGACCUGGUUAUGUGGCAUUAGGCGUUGUUAAGCCUGUUCAUGUGGUCCUAAUAUUUAUUUAUGGCCAUUGUUAGUUUCACAUUAUUGCUUUUGUCAGAUGGUGUACAAGAUAUGUCACCAUAUUAUAGGCUGGCGAUUAAUCUUUCCAUAUUAGGUCAACCUUUAAAAUCUUCUCCUUAACUUACCUUACAUAGACAUAAAAUAGUUGCAAGAUGGAGAAUUGGAGCUCCCCCAACUACGCGUGCAGAGCCCGAUAGAAGUGGCAGUACUGCAUUUAGAGGAAGAUCUUACCGAGUUGGAGGCUAAGAAGUGGAAAUCUGUUGAAGCUCUCUUUCAUAAGAAAGUCAUAGAUAUAUAUCAUUUGACAGGAUCUUAGGUUCUUUUUGUUUGCUACUAUCAGUUUCUCUUGUAGUAUACUUUUGAACACCAAACGCUGGUUGUACCAUUAAAACUAGUAUUAACAAAACAUUUGUUAGUUGGCUGACAACCAUGAAUGAAAAGUCAUUUUAAAAUGUUUAACCAGAUGAAACAAAAUCUUGUUUCAUUUUUGUAUGACUAUGUGUUGUGGGUGUGGAAUAUACACUUAUAUUACAUGUACUCACAUAUGCAAGCUUGCCUCCGCAAUACGGCAUGAUGAAGCAACAGAGAGCAGGCUUUGCAUUCUGAGAGGUAUCAAAGUUCAAUGAAAAUAUUUGUGCGCAAUUGUUGAUGUCACUUGUAGAACGCCAUUUUUGGUUAUAAGACUGUAGUGCAAUACCGCUUGCAAAUUUAUUUAUUUAUCUUGACAAACGGACUUGCUGCGAAGUAUUUAAAUAAAUCAAUACAAUCUGCUGCUAUGAAUUAUGAUAGUAUGGACAUACAAACAUAACACAUUCUUUUAUCUUUUUACUCGCAUCCACUAUUACCUCUACCUCCGUCUCAAAUUUGAUAAGGUCUUUUUAAUCCCAACGCAUGUAUUACUACUACCUCUACAUCUGGCUCAAAUAUACAUCGUUUGAACUCAAAUCCUUUUGAUAAGGCCUUCUUUAAUCCCAACACAUGUAAAAAAACAAUCACAAACUUGACAAGUACUGAUUAAGAUAUAUAUCCGCUAUUUGAAGUUUCCUAUUUGAAGUUUUGAAAUGAAUAUCUAAUUCAUUCGUAUUGUAUAAUAAAUCAUUCUUAAUAUUACUCUAAUUCUAUAUCGUUCUCAUUACUAUCAUUUUUACCAUAGUGUAGUUAUAACAUCCGUCAAUUCUUGUUUUAUUAAUUAAAUUCUCCACCAUUUCUGAACAAAAUAUACAAUAACUAAAAUUCUAUAAAUUAUCGAUUUAAACAAAUAUUUCCUUCAUCUCUUUCAUUUCUUUACAAAUAAAUUGAGCACAAAAAUUAAGAAAAAUGAAUAAAGUAGUAAAAAAAAUAUAUGUAAAGUGUUGGGAUUAUUAAUAUUUAUAAAACGAUUACACUAAAAUAGUGAACAUAAUUAUAUAUUUUUUACUAUAAAAGCAAAAUUUUAUUGUCAUCAAUAAGUUUUGAAAUAAAAAGAGCAAAAAAACGUUCCAAAAAGAAAGUGUAAAAACAGUAUUGCCGGAGUAUAAAAUAAAAUAACCCUGCCCUUAAUUAUCAGACCGUUGGGCGUUGGGGCUUGGGCAUAUUUUAUCGGGGUGUAAGUAAAUGUAUCUUCUCUCUUGGCGGUCAUUCACAUUCAAAUUAGCACACAACCAAAACAUUAAUAAUUAUUCAUUCAAUUCAUUUCCAAAUCAGUCGGUGCCUCAUUCACAUUCUUCAGGAACCUCACUCUCUCUCUCCAAAACCCUAACACUUCCUCUCUCUAAAAUCAUGAAGAGCAUGAAGCCACUCAAGCAAUUGAAGCUCUCAGUGCCUGCUCAAGAAACGCCCAUCACUAACUUCCUGUAAGCUCUCGCAGCUCUCAGUUACAUAUACUUGUGUAUUGUCUUUCUUGGUUAUCGAUCUGUUUUUAAUUUUUGAUUUUAAGUUACUGAUUGUGGAAUAGUUAUUAAAUUUAGGUUAAAAAUGAAAUGUUAAUUUAAAUUGUGAUUGUUAUUGUAGGACUGCUAGUGGAACAUUUCAGGACGGAGAUUUGAUGUUGAAUCAGAAAGGACUGCGUUUGAUUUCUGAAGAGAAUGAUGCGAUGACAGUAAGCUUUGCUUUCGGUGUUUGUUUUAUUUUUGUUUUGAGACUUCGAUUAAAUUGAAUUGAGUAUUAUUUGCACUGCUUUUGUCCAAAAUAAGAAAUGUUUUUGAGUUUGAUUGUGAUAUAUUUAUUGUGAAAUCUCAAAUUCAGAUUUUGUUGAUAUUUCCUUUUCGGAAGAUAUAAAAAAAUCAAGUGUUGUAGUGUAUUGCAGUUCAUAUUCUUUCAGUCCAGAAUGAACUAAAUCAGACCACAUAUUUGAUUGAUUGCUGCAACGAAGAAGCGAGAUGUUAUUAUGAUUUAGGAAUUGGAUUGACUUUAUGUUUAAAAUGUGACUUAAUUAGUUAAAUUAAAUAUUAUGAGUUGUAUAUCCGAGUUUGAUGAUUUGACUAACAGAAAAUAGAUUAGUCCUUAUAAUAUCGCCUGAUGAAAUCAGGACUACAAUUUACAUACAUGUAACUGGAAUGACAUAGCUGAUUAGACUACAGAUUACUGGUUUGAAGCUUCUGAGUGAACAGCUAUUAGACCCUACAGAAAACAAAGUUCUGAAAUAUGUUGUAUUUGAGAAUAUUAGUCUGGUUUAUAGGUAUUCUUUCUAUCUUCUCUGCUCAUGAAAUAUGUUAGUGCUUCAAUAGUGUAAGCUUCUUGAGGCCGGGCCUACUGUGUAAAGUAUUUUGUGCAGAAAUCAACUGGUUUAAAUGUUAGUGCUUCAAUAGUGUAAGCUUCUUGAGGCCGGGCCUAGUGUGUAAAGUAUUUUGUGCAGAAAUCAACUGGUUUAAAUUUUGAUAGGUGUUUUUAAAUUUUAUUCAGUAAUUAAGGCCAUACAACUCAUCUUAUUUGUUUUAUUUUGUUUUCCAUAUGGUUAUGUGGACAGCCUUCAGAUAAAAAUGUAAUAGAUUUUCAACUUGAGGAUCUUGAGACCAUCAAAGUCAUAGGUAAGGGAGGUGGUGGUGUUGUUCAACUGGUCCGUCACAAAUGGGUCGGAACAUUAUUUGCACUGAAGGUCAGUACUUAAGCAGCCCGGUAUCUUUUUUCUUGCAAGUAUGAAUUAUUAUACCAUUGACUUGUUUGCUCAUUGAUCUGUAACUAUGUAUAUAAGUGCUUGAUGGAAUGAUGGACUGCUGGUAAGGGUUCAUAGUAUAAUUCUUCCAUAGGAAAAUAGAAGCCGUUUUUGUGAUUUUAAUAUAGUAUAUGCUCACCAAAUACAGUUAUAGACUUCAAAAAAAAAAAAAAAAACCAGAGCGCCCCUAUAUAAUGGAUUGGGAAACCAUCCUUUUCUUUGUCACACAAAAGUAAAACCACAAUGUUCUCAUGGAUUAAACCAUUUUCCAUAUAAUUCUUGCUGUUUGUUAGAUGAUAUACAUGUAAGGUAAGACCUAAAACAUGUGGCCUAACCUGACCCUUAGUUUCUUACAACUUUCUUCAGAUUGGUGAUUAUAGUGUUUCUGAAUUUGAAAUGCACCUGGCUUUGCUGAUAGGUGAUACAAAUGAACAUCCAAGAAGAAAUUCGUAAACAAAUUGUGCAAGAGCUGAAAAUAAAUCAAGCUUCCCAAUGCUCACAUGUUGUAGUUUGCUACCAUUCUUUCUAUCAUAAUGGAGCCAUCUCUUUGGUUUUUGAAUACAUGGAUCGUGGGUCUUUGGCAGAUGUAAUCAGACAAGUCAAGACGAUUCUUGAACCAUAUCUUGCUGUUGUCUGUAAACAGGUUUGUAAUAUUUUGUACUUGAGUUAAAUUACAUUAGCCAGGUUUUAGUUGAAUUACAUAAGCUGAGUUUAAGAAAUACAUGAUAACACGUGAGUGUCAUACUCUUAUUGCAGGUUCUUCAGGGUCUGGUGUACUUGCAUAAUGAGAGACAUGUAAUCCAUAGGGACAUUAAGCCAUCAAACCUACUUGUAAAUCACAAAGGAGAAGUAAAAAUUACUGAUUUUGGUGUGAGUGCAAUGCUUGCUAGCUCUAUGGGUCAACGUAAUACAUUUGUAGGGACAUACAAUUACAUGUCGGUAAGUUUGAAAUAUAAUCCUAGCCCUGGGGAAUCUGUUACAGAAGUUACAUAGCCUGUUUGUUUUCUUAGUAUUUAUACUUCGUCACUCUAUAGUCUAUACAUAACUAACUACAUUCUGAAUAUAGCAAAUUAUGAAACCCUUUUUGUACUUAAAAUACAGCUAAAAUGUUUGAUUCUUCUUUUACUUUUAUAUUUGUUUAGCCAGAAAGGAUUAGUGGAAGCACUUAUGAUUAUAAGAGCGAUAUCUGGAGUUUAGGCCUUGUGAUUCUCGAGUGUGCAAUAGGACGUUUUCCCUACNNNNNNNNNNNNNNNNNNNNNNNNNNNNNNNNNNNNNNNNNNNNNNNNNNNNNNNNNNNNNNNNNNNNNNNNNNNNNNNNNNNNNNNNNNNNNNNNNNNNNNNNNNNNNNNNNNNNNNNNNNNNNNNNNNNNNNNNNNNNUUCCCUACAUACAAUCUGAAGAACAACUUGGUGCCCCAAGCUUUUAUGAGCUUUUGGAAGCAAUUGUUAGAAGCCCUGUGCCUUCUGCUCCAGCUGAUCAAUUCUCUCCAGAGUUCUGUUCAUUUGUCUCAUCCUGGUAUAAACAACUCUGCAUUUAUAUUAAUAAUUUAUUGACUAUUCACCUAUUUUGAUUAAUCAUUUUGUGGUGAUUGCAUCGCACACCAUGUACAGUAUUUUCUUUUGGUGAAUUCUUCAGUAAUUAUGAUCUUGUUAUCUUGUUGUGAUAUUACUGUCUGUGUACAUAAAGUGGGAGAUGAUUUUUGGCCAUCAAUAAAGUCUAAAUAUAUGAAUAUUUUUCAUUGUUUGGCUCGUUGCAUUACUGCAUCUAGUAUGCUUUGAAGUCAAUGCUUCAAUUGGUAGACAGACUUUCAUGUUCCCAGUAUAUGAUAUCAUACACAUUUGUGCUUCACAUGGUAAUUUUGUCAUUGCUACUUUUAUAAAGAAUAUCUGUCUCUCCUCACUAAAAAAACCCUCAAAUGAGUUUAAUGUGCUGAGUUAAUUACGUAUAAAAUGUACCUGUAAAUCUUUUUAUGGUGUAGAGUAUUAAGGCAGAUAAUCGGCUGUGACAUGACAUCCCAAUAUAUAAAGGUGGCAAAUUUCAUUUGCUUCUUGAGUUUGUCUCUUUUAGUCUGAACUGACCUACAAACUGUAUUCCCCCGCAAUUUGACCUUCAGACCCUUUUCAAAUUGUCUGCAGAUUCCGGGGUGGAUAGAAUAGCACUAAGCUUCUAUUUCAUCCAUACUUCUUUUUGUAAUUGUGUAAAUUUGCAUGUGCAGUAUUCAGAAGGACCCUGUAGACAGAUCAUCAGCGGUGGACCUUUUGGUUAGUAUAACUGUACAUAAUUUACAUUAGGUUCCAUAUAUAAAUAAAUGAUAAUAUUCUUUCUAACUAUAUAGUUUAUUGAUAAUCCAGGAUCACCCGUUUAUCAAGAAGUUUGAGGACAAGGACAUUGAUCUUGCCAUACUAGUAGAGUGCUUGGACGCUCCUGUAAAUUUUCCUAAAUAAUUUCGUCUGUAAAGUAUAUUAAGUGCAAAAUACUCUCCCAAUGUAUCGUUUUAGAGUCUUGCUUGAAACUGAUUACAGCAUCUAGGUAAUGGUUCUUAUUACCAAUCCACAGUAGCUUCAUGCAAUGACAUGGACAUUUCUCUUAAGGUUGUACCGGUGUGUCGUUAACUCUUCAAAAUAUACUAGUUUUGCCAACCGAAUGAUAUUUAAGAAUGCUUCUGAGUUUUAACUUAUUAAAGAUAGCAGUAAAUUAUUGAUACCUGGCAAGGUUUUCAAAGACUGUUACAAGUUUGUUAAAAGAUUGAAAAAGAAAAAUGCUCGAGGCCAUGUAACUUGUGCCGGCCGGGUUCGGUCCCGGAUUUUGAUUUCUGUAUUCGUAACUGCGUUUUGAACUAGCCGGCCGAAUAAAAUUGGACUUCUAUGAGCCGGGCGGUUCAAACCCACACAAGUGGCUAGCUCUACUUGAGGGUAAUAUUAAAAAUAAUUUUUUCUGAAUUUUUUGAUUUUUGAAUUGGUUAUACACGAAUUUAAUUAAAACAAAAAUGUGGUAUAUUAUUCUAAUUAUAUUUUUUAAAUUUUGUAAGUGCUCAUUUUAAUAUAAUUAUGUGAAAACAAGUUAUUUAUACCGUUGAUGUUGUGACAAUCACUUGUUAAGGUACUUGAAUCUUAAACCUGCAAAAAUUGUUUAGAAAAUAGAGAAUAUAUAAAUAAGGAAUGUAAAAGUUUCAAUAUAAUAUAUUGCUAAUGGAAUUUAAAUGACAAAAAUAUACAUAUUAAUAUUAUUUUAUUAUUAUAUCUAACGAUUGUUAUCUAAUUUAAGAUCUAAUAAAUUUUAUUUUAUUUAUCGUCCUGUGCGAGAUAACAGUACCGAACACUGACCAACAAGCGGGUGUUUUGUGUUUCGCUUGUAAUAAUUUAAUAUAGAUAAAUAUAUCAUGUACUUUUUUUUUUCAUUUGUUAAGUAGUACAUAUGAAAGCGUCUUUACUUAAAAUUUUAAAUUUGCUCUUUAUUGGUGUUAUUAAAAUUUAACAACUCGGCUAUCUUUUAAAAAUUAUGAUAAAUUCGUUGUAAGUUCCGGUUUAUGUUUACCGAAUUGAGGGAUAAGCAACUUUUAUUUCUUGUAAUUGCGACCGAAUGAUUUGCUAGAUUAAAAUAAAAUUCCUAUAUUAAAUUGAAUAAAAAAAUAUUUUUAACAAAUUAAUUUAUUUGUUCAAAUUGCACCACACACAGUUUUUGUCAAAUUUGUAAAAAUUUAAAUUUAUUUUAUCAAAAUAGAAAUUCAUUUAAUUUAUUUGUUAAAAUUGUACCACAAUCGUUUUUUAUGAUACUCCCUCCGUCCCUUUUUACUUGUCCAUUUUGAAAAAAUAACGCAUCUUAAGAAAAUGUUAGGUGGAUAUCUUGUUUUCAUACAUAUCCCUAAUAAAUGUAAUGAAUUAGAUAGAGUUGUGUAUAUAUAUAUCCUAGUCAAACAUUGGAAGUUGUUACAUUUUGAAAAAACAUACAAAAAGUUGCUUUGAAAAGAGAAGUGGACAAGUAAUUUGGGACAAAUUUUUUUUUCAAAAGGGACAUGUAAAAGGGGACGGAGGGAGUAAUUUGUAGGCAACGCCACAGGAGGGGUCUCACUUCUCAGAUCGACUCUAAAAUCAGUUUCAAGGUCAGAUUGAUUAGAUUUCUCAAAUCGUUAGUUUUUUUAGUUAUUAUUAUCAUCUGGGUUAUUGAGUUGAAUCAGAAUUGUUUUGUUUGAUAUUGCCCACAACGUGUUCGAUUAUGUAGUAUUUCCGGUGAAUGUGAGCUCUUGUAGUGCCUAAUUGCACCCCUAAUUUAUGAAUUUAUGUGAAGAAAAAAAAUAAUUUGUAUUUAUAUAUUGAUUUAUGUUUUAACAUUAGCCUGAUAUAUAUGAUCGUUGUUCGGGGAUGUACAUAGCUAGUUGUGAUCUUGUUUGGAUUUAGCACCAUUUAGUAGUUGUCUUUCCUCAGUGAAAUAAUUUUUCUGUGACAGUGAUAAUUUUGGAGGAUGGAUGAGACCAAAUUAUACUUGUGUUUUGAAGCAACAAAUCCGAAAUAAGAGUCUGUUUAUGUGAUAUAUUCUACAAAAGAGAGUGAUCUGAUGCACAAAUCACCGACUUUUAGACCAAACUUCACCUUGGAAGAAUGUAUCAGUGGGGUUUCUGCUAUGGGCUGUGGUCUUUUUGGUUCCAAAAUUGUUCUCGCUGGUGGAUUUUCUGGUGCAGGAGAAAACAGGAUAUAUAACCGUAGCCUGGUAACGUACGAUCCUGUCAAUAAAAAGGUAUCUCGUGAGGAUUUUCCCGAUAUGCGGGGACGCAAAAUCAGGCCUUUGGUGUUUGAGGUUUAUGGGAGGCUGUAUGUCUUGGAUACCAGCAAUUCUGUUUACAAGCGAACCUGGGAACUUUAUUAUCCCACGAAAAAAAUUUGGGCCAAAGUAAGUGAUCCCUUCUGCAGCAUAUAUAAUGCCCUAACAUGUAUUAAAAAUAUAUCAGGCAGAUUCCCAUACUCUUGGUUUGUUAGUGGCAACACAGUUUCCAUUUCUUCGCCCGCAGAAGGCCUUACAUAUUUUCACCAUACUAGGCAAGCCACCAAGUUAUUUUCUACUGAUGCCAGUGAACCGCUUCCAUUCCAUGGCAUGGCAACAACUUUCUUUAAUCCGGGUUUCUGUAAUGUAGUUGUCAUCUCCUUUUCUAAAGGACUGGUAGGAGGACAAGGAUGUGUAGAAGGACGCCGAUUGAGAUACUGCCCCUUUAAAUUUUCCGAACCUGAACUUAUUUUUAGGACUACUCCGUACGAAAAACCUGAUGGUGAAGUAUCUAGUUAUUUUGCUGAAUGUGGAAAGGGGAAGUUCUGCCUUAUUACUUUCGACAACUUCAACAUACAUGUCCAUGUUUUCAAGAUUCUCAGGCGUGAAGCUGCGGAUGGGACCUCGAGUUUGGUUCUAAUAGAUUUAGAUAAGCACAAAUAUAACUUCAGUGAUUUCUCCGUUGAAGGCUUCACAAGUAUCAGUCUCUCUGGCUGCUUUGUGUUGUAAGUUAUCCUGCUUAAGUGUAAAUGUUUGUUUCAUUUGAUGCAAUUAUUUAGUGUUUUAUGUUGGUGAUAACCCUCCAGGCCAAGAGAUGAUGGGCCUAAGAGAUAUGAAGAAUCAAAAUUGUACCAUAAUUAUUUUUUGUGGUGAGAAACAUUGUCUUACUUAUAUCUCUCUCUCUUCAUUGUUGGACAUGUUUCCGUUAGUAGUUGACGGAUUAAUAGAAGUGAGUGUUCAGAAUGUGCUUUUGGCAAUCUCUGAUGUGCAAGGAAUACUUGCUUGCUUCCGUCUAGAGAUUGUUAUUCAAUUUCUCUUUAUGUGAGAUUAGUAGGUCUUUGAUUUUUGCCAUGUACAAUUCACAUUUUGAUUAUUUUUUGUUUUUGUGCCUCCAGUUACGAGUCGGAGGAAAAGGAUGACGACAUUCCUCCUUUAAUUGCAACGGAUAAAGGACUCAUGGUAUUUGGACUUUUGUAUGAUUUUCUAAUGAUAAAUAUGUCCUUCAAUUUGAAAUUUGAAAUGUACAUGUUAAUAGUUAUAAACCUUGUUAUUAGCUUUUAUCAUUAUCUUUGCAGAUUGAUCCUGAUUAUGACAGCGGCGGCGGAGACAGUGAUUUCGAAGUGUAUUAGGUAGGCCUAACAAUUUGGCACAUGACACGAAAAGUUAGUGCUUGGGUUUAAAUUUUUGGGACACGAACAUGAAAGUACACGGUGAAUUUAGUGUCGGAUAUUCUUUCAACCUUCCAACCAAUUUAUUUAACUCGUUCACAGGAACGAAGCUACAUAGGGCCAGAGGGGGCCAAUGCCCCCCUAGGAUUUUUAUAAUAUUAUAAUUUGUAUUAUAUAAUUUUGAAAAAAUUGUAUUUUAUGUAUAUAUUUAUAUAAAUAUAAAAAGUUGUCCCCCCCCAAAAAAAAAUAUUUGUUCACCCUUAAGAAAUAUUUAAUAUUAUAAGAUAAAGUGUUAAUUCUUAGAUUUCUCUAAAUUAUGUAUUAGACCAAAUUUAAAAAUAAACAAAGAUAUAUACAAUUAUACUAUUAAAAAAAGAUCGUGGAAUGUGAUAUGUGAUAAAGGUAAACGUCAAUAUGAUUUUUUAAUGCGUGUUACUUGCGAAUUAAAAAUUAUUGUAUAGCUUAAAGUUAUUAUGACGAGUUUCCUGAUUUUAGUUCUGUUGAUUUUGGGUAUUCUUGAUGGAUUUCUUUACAUGAUCGAAUAUAUAUAUAUAUAUAUAUAUAUAUAUAUAUAUAUAUUUAUAUUUAUAUUUAUAUUUAAAGAGAAACAGCUAAAUAUUUUAGUUGACACAAUUAUAUACUUUGAUUUCCUGGUUUAAAAGAACGAAAAGUUACACUAUAAUUUUUGUACUAAUAUUUUUGCAUUUAUUUUAUAUUAAAUAUUUGUCGAAGAAAUUUUUUGGCCCCCGUAUAAAUGCUUGAUGGCUUCGUUCCUGCUCGUUCAGUUAUCUUCAUAAAAAAAUGACUUGCAACCUACAGAGAUGAUAAAUUUCAAAUCCAAAAUCUUAUGAAUAUCAUCAAUGGAAGGCCAUUUUGUUGUGCCUUUAAUUUUUUGAACUCAAGAGGUCCAAAUGUGCAUUUGGAAUUCAACCAACUUGGAGAAAUUUGAGAACGACGGCCAGGUUUUUCCAAAUACACUGGUUAUGCAAUUGUUUUAGGAUCUCAUCCACCAAUAAAAUUAUGCAAGAAAUGCAUGACAUACAUCAUGAUCCUGCAAUUUUAACAAAAUGAAAAUAGAAAGAUGAAAAGGGAUGAGGGAUGAGCUUUUAGAAUAUUUAAGAGCCGGAAAAUUCAAUGAUAUUUGAGAUUAUUAAUGAUAUUGGAGAAACAUUUGAGAAUAUCUAAGAGUUGGAAAUUUUAGACAGCAAAAGAGUUGGGGAUGUUUUCCACUGGAGAGACCUCAGUACUUGCAUCAUAACUUUCAAUUUCAUACUAAUAUUGCAUAUAAUUAUAAGUAUACAAACAACUUUGUGCAUGUUUAUGUCUAUAACCGCCGGUUCAUUCUUUUAAUCUUAUUUGUACAAGUUGUAAAUGAGUUCAUAUAAUUACACAAUUACAAAGCAACUUGCUUUGAGCACGAAUGCCACUAACAAAAUAUUGCUAUAGAGGUACAACUUACAACUUACAACUUUACCUUUUGUUUUUAUCUUUUUAUCUAUUUUAAGAUAUAAGUGAUACGUCACAAGUAAGAUAUUUUUUUAUUAAGCUUUGAAAUUAAAAGUUACAGUCAUUGAGUUUUAAAAUUAAAUUAUUGGUCAAAGUCUGACUGAUCACUCACAUGAAUUCAAUUUUAUUCAAAUUAAUAAAUACAACUAUCUUAUUAAGAAAAAUAUAAAUUGAACAACUUGCCUUCUAAGCAAAGUACUGGAACUCAAAGAAACCGCUUUAUUUAAAUCUAAGUUGGAUCAUUACCCCGAGUUGAUUCUUGAUUUGAGAAAAUGCGAUCGGGAUAAAGAUUGUUUUAAGAAUAUUUUGGCUCGUCUUUCAAGAGAUACACAGUUGUACUUUUAAAAAAAAUGACAAAUCUGAGAUACUAAACAAAAGCAGAUGCACAUUACAUUCGCUUUUUAAGUUCCUUGAGAGCAUCUCCAAAGGUGUUAUGUAUAUUUAUUAGCUAUAAUAUGAUAUAUGAAUAAUUAUCUAAAAUUAUUGCUAAAAGAUCCUAGAUUCACUCUAAUGGUGUUAUGUCUAAUUAUAUCAUCUAAAAUUAUACAUAAUAUCUUUAGAGGUUUUACAAAUGUAGCAACCCCAUUUUUAUUUAUCUAUAUUUUUUUGCUAAGGAUAAUGGUUGGAGUGCUUAACUUUUUACAUAAUAUCUAAAUAGUGUCACUAGAUGUCAAUAGAUAAUUUAGCUAAUGGUUUUAGUACCUUGGAGAUGCUCUAAGUGGUUACAUUCUAUAAUUUCUUCCUUAUUUGUGUUAUGAAAUCCAAGUAUGAAAAUAUAGUACCUGAUAGAUUUAAAAACAUUCUAUCCACACAUCUUUAUAAUGAUAUGGCAUUGAACCUAAUUAAAAGAGGGUGCAUUUCCUUGUAUGAGCUUUGUCAUCCCUGUUAAAACAUCCAAUAUAAUAUUUCGUCAGUUAAAAGUAGGGCUGAGUAUUCGAUAAAAACCGAACCGAAUUACCGAAUACCGAAAUAACCGAAAUACCGAAUAAGCUCAAAAACCAUAACCGAAUAGUGAACCGAAUUUAAUUCGGUUAUUUUACCGAACCGAAUUUUUUAUUUCGGUUAAAACCGAAUACCGAAAUAAAAAACCGAAAUUUUAUAAUAGUGAACAAAAAUCACAAAAAUAAUGGAUCAGUAACUGAAAUCGGAGGUGAAUCAACUGAUUUCUCCAAACAUCGGAAGUGAAGUUCGAUCGAAUUGAGUCCAUUGACAACAAACCUUAAUCGAUGAUGAUGAUGAAGAUGCUGGGUGAAUCAGACGAAGAAGACUGAAGGUGAAGAUGCUGGGUUAAAGAAGAAUUGAAGAUGCUGUCGUGCUCCGUGCUGGUGACUGGUGAGUUGGUGAAUGGUGAGGUGCUCAGUUUGGCCGUCGGGUGUGAGCUUUAACAACUUGGUUAAUCUGACUUUUAAUAUGGUAUAUAUAUUCCGAUAANUAUUAAAAUUUAUUAAGAAAAUAAAUUUUUAUAUAUAUAAUAUAUAUAUAUUUAUAUUUUAAAUAUUUUGGUUAUUCGGUUUUUUCAGUUAAUUUGGUAAAAAAACUGAAAAAAUCGAAAUACCGAAAUAGCCAAAAAAACCAUAACCGAAUUAAAAACUGAAAUAUUUCGGUUCGGUUAACCGAACCGAAUGCUCAGUCCUAGUUGAAAGUAAUAGGGUUGCCAAACAGAUAAAACGGAUACGGAUUUGUCCACAUCCGUAUCCGCCUACUAAAAACUGUAUUCGUAUCCGCAAAUCUAAUAUAAAAUGAUUUGUAUCCAUAUCCGCCGGAUAUUAUCCAUUUUUUCAAACAUCAUCAAAAUUGAAAUAAACAUUCUGAGAUUAAUUAAAACACCGAUUUUGGACCAUUCAACAACACUCAUAAAUUAGCUGUUAAUAACUUAGCCAAAAAAAUGAAAACAAACAAGAUUAGCCAAAACAAAAAUUAUGUCAAAACAAAUCAAUAUAGCAUGCUGCAAUUACUACAUAGAUAAUUUACUCGAUAGCAUUCAAUAAAUACAACAGACUAAAAUGACAAAUACACUAAUUAUACAGUUAGAUGUUUUGCUAUCCAAAGAUUAGAAGCCUGUUUAAAAAAUGAUUAAGUGCUAGCCUGGCAAGAGAAUAAAUGUUUAACAUAUAGACGAAGGGAAGGUGGGAAACCUGAUAUACAAAUUACGAACAAAGAAAUUGCAAGAUCUAAGCGUAGCGGCGGGAUUUGAUUUUAGGGUUAGAAAAGGGGCGCGACGGGAUGAGGUUGGGGGCUCGGUUGUGUAUUCUGUGUUAACUGAUGUGGUAUGAUAUAUUUGACUCACGAGUCACGAUUUAAUACUAUUAUAUCGAUUGUAUCUCUUUUUAUUUUUAAUUUAAUAUUUUUUUAUUUUAAAAUAUUAAUUGUUGUUUAAAAUUUACAUGAUAAAAUAAAAAAUAUAUAAAUAUAAAUAAAUUUAUAUAACUAAAAUUAUAUAUAUAAUAUUAAUAUAUAUAUGUAUAUAUAUAUAUGUAUAAAUAUAUAUUUAUUUAUUUAAAUGAUUCCGGAUACGGAUACGUCUAUAUACAUAUCCGUAUCCGCAAUCUCCGGAUUCGAAUAUGGAUAAUAUCCAUUUUAUUUCGGAUAUGGAUUAUAUCGGUUUUUUUCGGGAUACGGUAACGGAUUUUUCAGACGGAUACCGGAUUUUUCGGAUUUUUUUGACAGCCCUAGUUAAAAGUGUCCAUUUAGUACUUAGUCAUAAACUUACGAUCCGAAAUUUUUUUCAAUAUUUUCAAAACAGACCUUACAUUUUCUAACUUCUAAAAUUAUCAAUUAUCACUCGGACAUGUUUUCAGUCAUACAUACAUUUUAUAAUUAUCUAAAGAUACGUCCCUAAUGUGCAGCAUAUAAAACCCUUCACUAAAAUAGACCAUCCCAAUUAAACAUCUUAAUUCCAAAUAUAUAAAACUUUGAAAUACAGACAGUUUACCCAUGUUUAAAAAAUUAAUCAAGCAAAUAUUGUCUCUUUAGUCACUCUUAUUGUUUAUUAUAUCAUAUCUUGAUGCAACUUUUAAUUUCAGUUGCAGCACCUUCUAAUUCUUUCGCAAAAGGUGCAUUCCUUCAUUGUUCUUUUGAUGAAGAUUAUGAAAUUUUGCUGCAAUAUUGAUAUAUAAAUUAAAACAUUAUUUACAAUAAAAAAAUUCACUAAUGGAUAAGUUAAUCAGUAAAAGGAAUACAUUAUGCAACGCUAUUUAAUGGUUGUAGAAGAUGGGGAAAUAGAAGUUUGCAUCGCUUCUAUUGGUCACUCUAUUCACCAAAUUCAGCAAACCAUAUGCAUAUUCUUUAAAUCUAUAAAAAAAGUUCAAAUUUGACAAAAAAACUUAUAUAUAAUAUAUUUACAUAAUACAAGCCACACUACUAACUAAAUAUCUAAAUAUCCGAAAUAUGCAUUUAAUAUGUGGACAUGCAUAUAUUCCCAACUUUGAAAAGGAUAGUUACAAAACAUGUCUCUUAUAAUCUGAUGCAUAUCUUCAAGCAUAUUUAUUUUCAUUUAUUGUCAUUUGAAAUUAGCAUAAGAAUAAAAUAUUAAACUCAUGCUAAAAGUCACCUAAGAAUUUAUGUUUAUUACUUUUUGAGGUAAUCUUUCAUAUGUUUUGAUUUUCAAUGUUUUUUCUAUUAUGCAUCGGUAAAUGACGGGAGAAAAAUUUACACAAAGUUAAUUUUCUAGAAUGUUAAAUUCAAGAUAUCUAAAUGUAUUUGUAACAAAGACAAAACAAAAUAAAAAAGUAAGAGUUGGGAUUACCCGUUUGUCAUUAAUAUGUCUGUUUGAGUUGUAAAUAAACUUAUGUUUGCUAAGUGCACUAUUAUUAUACUUUUUUUGCCUUUCAAGAAAACCCUAUUUUCAACCAUCUGAAUCAAAUCUUGGUUGUCUGAAUUUUUAAUACUAUCUUGCCAAGAUAUCUGAUUCUGUGAAGUUGAUGCAGCAAGGUUGUCUCAUUCUUAUCUUAAGUUUGCAAUAAUAGUGUUUAAAGAUUCGUGGUCGAUCUUUGCAGAAUAAGAUGUCAUGCGGCAUGAACAGAAGUACACUGCCUGCACUGAUAAUAUAUUACAAAGGUCCACACUGUUAAAAAAUACAAUAAUGUUAUAUAAAUAAUGUAUAAAUUAUAUAUACAUAUAUUAAUAAUUAAAACAUAAAGAACAUCAUAGAGAACAUCAUGGUCUUUGAACCUAACAGACGUUUUCUAAACAUUUUAUAAUACUUAUAUUAUCGAUCUUAUCCUCAUAAUAAGAUCCAAACAUUUAUAAAUUUGAAGAUUUAGAACUCGAAAUUAAUUGUAAUCUUUGAAUUUAAAGAGAUGCUAGUAUAUUUUGGAAUAUAAUCAAAGUUGGCUAAAGAUACACCCUUUAAAUUAGCAACAAUACUAUCCAACUUCACUUCAAUUGCAUUCAGUAUGACGUGUCUGUUCAAAAAAAAUUUAGAAAAUAUUAUUAGUGGACAACAUUAUAGUUUCUAUUUUUCAAAGAAAAGUUAAUAAAUACCGUUGCACUCUUUGUCGGAUAACAAAAUGUCUUCAUUUUUCUUCAACUGUUCUUGACGAAGAAAAAUCAACAAAAAAUGAAAAAAAAAAAUUUAUGAAAUGAUUUUUGGGCAUUUUAGAAAUGUUUUUAGUUUUCUUAACAGCAUCAUCGUGUGAAUCACACAAAAUGUUGCUAAUGUUCCAUUUUUGGAAAUAAUUAAUACUCAAAAAGUCAUUAAGAGCAAGUCCAAUAGGUGUGCUAAAUGAAGUCUUAAAUCCAAAAAUAAGGAAUAUGAGAUAAAAUUGCACUCCAACACUAUGCUAGUGAUGUGCUAAAUCACUAGCACAAGCCUCCCCUUCCCUAUUUUUAGAAUAUGCUAGCAACUUCUAAACUAUUUUUAUCAUUAAAAUAUUCAUUUCCCUCUCUCCUCCACAUCAUUUCUCUUUCACAAUAUCCCAAAUUGUUUAAAUUUAAUAUUAUUAUAAUAAUUGGGAAUGGAUAUAGGGAGUACUAUUGGAGCUCAUGUGCUAAAUCUUGUGCUAAAUCACUAAGACAUAUUAUUUUAUAAUAUUUUUAGGGAACCUCUUAGCAUAGUGUUGGACUUGCUCUAAGUUCUUAAAAAAUUUCUUUACACAAAAGUUUAAGAAGACCCUCUUAUUAACAUCUUUUUGGUCCGUUUAUAACGGAUGUGGAUGAAGAUCAAGAAGACCCUUUUGUUAACAUCUUUUUACAGGGGAUGUGAAUGAUUCAAAAAUCAUUGGUAUUUUAUAGGGGAUGUGGAUGAAGAUCAAGAAGAUCUUCAUGUUAACAUCUUUGGUUCGUUUUAUCUUACACCCCACAUCUUCAUCCUAAUAAUCAAUCUAUUUUUCAACUUUAUAGGGAUUUCAAGAAACUGGAUGUGUGACUCAUAAUUUAAAAAAGAAAAUGAUGGGUUUCCGGGCUCUCAUCAACUAAGGAAAAUUGUGACCACUGCAUCAAAAUCACCGCAGUUCAAGAAUUCGGUGAGGAUUUACGGUAAGUACUCUUACCCAUUGUUUUAUAUAAGCAUAUGUAUCGUUUAUAGUAUGAUGAUUAAUCUUUAAAAUGUCAAGGUUUAUUUAUUGGGGAUAUAUACUUGAAUUUGGAUAUGUACUCCAAUUUUAGUGUUGUGCCUGAUUAUGCGGAUGCUUUUGGUCAUGCACUGAAUGUUGUUAAUGUGGAAGUCGAAUGUGAUCAGAGGAAUGUUACACGCGGAGUUGAUGUGGCUGAUUGCGGAAUAUAUGGUCAAGUAUUGAAUGUUGUUAAUGUUGAAAUUGAUGGUGAUAGGAGGAAUGUUGAAGUGGGAUUUGACAGGGGACAUGUAGUAAAUUGUAAUUUUGGAGUGCAGGGGAAUGGUGACGGUUCAGAAACAAAUGUGGUUCAUUUUGAAAACUCUGGAGGGAUUGUGAAUUUGGUUGAUGCGGCUGACUAUGGAGAGUUAAUAUUCAAGUACUGAAUGGUUCCAAUUCCGAAUUUGAUGGUAAUUGGAAAAAUGUUUAGCUGGGAAUUGGGGUGGGACAUGUUGUAAAAUUUGAUACCAGAAUGCAUGGAAUUGUGAUGAUUUGGAACUGAAUGUAAGAUUGGUUAAGUUUAAAGUAUCAGGAGGAAUGUAGAUUCAGGUGAUUUGGAUGGUUGUGGAGCAGAUGAAAUGAAUUCUGAUAAUGCGGAAGUUGGUGGGGAGAGGGAGAAUGUUAAGCUGCCAGUUACUGUGGAACUUGCUAAUGCAGUGCAGAAAGCUGGUACUAGUGUGGUACAUCUAGAAAUGAACCGGAAACCUGGUAAUUUGGAAGAUCGAGAUCAAGGCAAUAUGGCUGAUUCCUUAAAAGUUUCUUUACAUAACAGGAGGGUCUUCUUGAUCUUCAUACACAUGAACAUUACAGUUCAUCUGAUCUAAAAGUUCUUCUUAAAAAUUCACGCAUUAUACCAGAGAAUACAAUCAUAUGUAGGAUUGGUAAAUUAUAAAAAGAAGUUUUAAUAAAAUUAGAACAUAAAAAUUCACACAUCUCGUGUAUCGGUUGGGUAGGUCAUCAACAUAAACAUCAUCCUAUGAUAAAAUGAAAAACAACCCAGGUAAAAUAAAAUAUAUAUAUUACCUGAAUUAUAAAACGAAUAUAAAUUUACAUGGCAAUCGUUAUAUUUAAAUAUUAAUAAAUACUUGGACCUAAUAUCAUUAAAGGAAAUUACCUUGUAUACUGUUUUUUCAAUCUUAUUUUCAAAAAUACUACCUUCUCCAAUCUUAUUUUCAAAAAUACUACCUUCUCUAAAAUCUUUCCAAAAAUACUAUCUUUUUGAAAAUAUUUUCCAAAAAUACGGUGGUUGCAUAUGCAACCAUAUAUGCAACUGCAAAACCUGAUUUCAAGUUCCAUUUUCAAAUGUCUAUAUAUAUCGCAUAUAUAACUUGAGUUCAACAUUUUUCAACAUUUUUUGUUGAACAUUGACUAAAAUAGUGGUGGAGAAGUACAUAAACCAAUUUUUAAAUGUAAGAACUAAGGUAAACAUGUUAUAUAACUGUUAUUUAUGUUUCUAGACCCUACCCAAACCCCAGAGGUAUAGUUUAAACAUCUUUUUAGAUAUAUUCAACACAAUGAUAAUUAGUGUUCAACACCCGAUGUUGAACCCCAGUUAAAAAUGUGUUGAAAACGUGAUUUAUUUAUGCGUUAUUUUUAAAAAUUGUGAUGUUUUUUGAAGAAUUUUCAACAUGGAUACUUUAUAUAACUAAGGAUUAACACGAUGAGAAAAUAAAAAAAAGUUUGUAAGUUUGUAACUUAAAAAAGUUUUUAUUUGAUCCUAUCCCUAUAUAUAUAUAUAUCUAUAUAUAUAUAUAUCUAUAUAUAUAUAUAUCUAUAUAUAUAUAUAUCUAUAUAUAUAUAUAUUGUAAUUUGUUUUAAAAGGUGGUAGUAUUUUCCAAAAAAUUCUUUUAAACUUGGUUAUGAAUAAAAAAAGCCCUAUCAUUAAACCAUCGUAAAAAGUACGAUUAACACAACCUUAAACUCAAGACACAAAAUUAGACAUAAUAUGAUUAUUACAACACAAAUAAAGUUUGUACUGUCAAGACUAUUGUAAUAACUGAAAAAAUAUAAUGGCAGCGUUAUUAUUAAUUAAUUAUAAUACGAUGGGAGGCUAUUUUGGGCAUUCAAGAAUGUAGAAGUCUAUAUACGACUAAACCUCUGUUUUAAAGAUGCCUGGUUUAUUGAAAAAUUCCCGAUUAAUUCUUAAAAUAUAUUUUAUCGAUUAACCGAUGAGACUCCGUUCUAUAAAUUCUCGACCUAAUAAAAAAAAUCUCUGAUAAAUCAUGAAUCGGUAGGUUAAUCGAUUUAUUCCGAUUGUCGAUUUUAACAGCAUAGACUAAAAUAGUUAUAAUUUUUCAUUAGGGAUCACGAGAAAAAAAAACUCAUGCCACGAACUUCUCUCCCCGCUCUAGUUUAUCUUUCUCUCUGAGUUAACUCUAUCAUCUUUCUCUCUGAGUUAACUCUAUCUCUCUAUCUUACUUCGCUAUUUCUCUUCCUUUUCUUUUUCCUCUAUAUCUCUAAUUUCUGUUUUUUCUCUUAGUUUCAUUUUCUUUUGCUUAUCUGUUUUAUUGAUUUUCAUAAUUAUAAAAUAUUAAAAUAUGCUAAACCAUAAAUUUUAAGAGUGUUGUUAUUUGUUCCUAACAUUCACUUGUAGCACACUUUUAUAACAUGCAAACUAUUUCAAUUGAUAAACCAAAUAGAACUGUUAAGGAAUCUAGUUAACAAAUACAUGAUAUCUCUUCGUGAGAGCUUAUUUACUUGCAACUUCUCACUGAUUAUCUUCAUGAUCAUUUAUGUAUAUAAUGAAAAAUAUAUUGUUAAUUACGUGAGAAACAUUUUGCUACUUGUAACUAAUAAGCAUCCCCACAUUCUCCCUCACAAGGCCACCAAUCAUUUCAUUCAAACAAAAAUUUAAACUCUCAACUUGUUGUAAAGAACAAUAGAAAUCUGUUAUUAAAUUUAUCUAUUAUUGAUAAAAAUCAAAAUUCUCAAUUUUUUAUUAAAAAUAAUAAAAAUUCACUAAUGUGUAAUAAUUGAGAUAAAUAUCACGGUUAAAGGUCAAAUCUCGAAGAAAGUAGAGUCAAAAUACCUGAGCUUUCUUAAAUUUGGAAGGAAAACUGAAUCAUUUGAAAAUUAGAACAAUGAUAAUUGAAGUGAUUACGUAGUGAAGACUUUAUAGACGGUUUUACAAGCCUUGCAGACUUGUUCAUUAUUUUUGGCUAAAUUCUUAAAAAAAUUUGUUCAUCUUUAAAAUAUGUAUUUAGUUACUUAUUCCCUAAAAAUCGUCACAUAUGCAUAAAAUCUUGAUCACUUUUAUCACUGAGCGUGUGACAGUCCGAGAAUCCGGGGGUCUGGAUUCUGACGUCACCACAUAAAACCCAUUUUUAAACACUUUUGAAAACCUGUAUUUUUUUUUUCUUUUAAAAGAUAAUGAAAAUCAAAAGAAUUUAAAACCGGAGAAUAUUUGAAAGAGAACAUAAAUCAAAUGUUUUCAAAACCUGAAUUUGUAACUUGAAAGCCAUAAUAGGAGAAUAUCACGAGAACAUUUAAACUUUAAUAAAUGAUUCGAAAUAGAACAUUUAAACCCCCUAAAAGCAACAGGAUCGCAUCCAGGUUACAGUAUUGAAAUUAGAAUCUACCACUAUUAUUACCAACAUCUCUUACCAAAUCAGAUCAUCUUCGAUAAGAAGAAUCACUGUCAACUAUUCCAGCUUGCACCAACCUCAUCAACUUUCCUGAACACUCCUCGACCACUGGAUCCUCAACUCUGUCUCCUCGCCUAGCAUUAGCCUUACUCACAAUCUCAAUCAAUCAUCUCAUCUUUAAGCCUUUCUGAAAUGGUUAAAAAGGAAUAGCAAGGGUGAGCAACAAUGCUCAGCAAGUAAUAAUAAACAAUGAUAGUUCUGAAAUGAUAUAAUAGAAGUUCACGAGUUCAAGAUAUAAGAGGAUUCAACCUGAGUUCAUGAGUUCAUGGUAUUGUAUAGAAUGAUUUACAAUACCUUGCAGCAUUUAAACUGAGAAAUUCAAUCUUUCCAAAGAAUUAUUGAAUUGGACUAUCACAUUUUAAUUAAAACCAAGGUUAGGCAGCUGAUCAGUUCUGCACUAACCCCGAGCAGGCCCCGCCAUGCUCUAUCACUGGAUCCAAGGCACUCAUUGGCCUAACAUGACCACUCAUCUGGUCCACAGGUUUAUAUAAAAACAAUAAUCCAAUUCUCUAAUUCAAUUCAACAGGUCAGUAAAUCAAUAGAACANNNNNNNNNNNNNNNNNNNNNNNNNNNNNNNNNNNNNNNNNNNNNNNNNNNNNNNNNNNNNNNNNNNNNNNNNNNNNNNNNNNNNNNNNNNNNNNNNNNNNNNNNNNNNNNNNNNNNNNNNNNNNNNNNNNNNNNNNNNNNNNNNNNNNNNNNNNNNNNNNNNNNNNNNNNNNNNNNNNNNNNNNNNNNNNNNNNNNNNNNNNNNNNNNNNNNNNNNNNNNNNNNNNNNNNNNNNNNNNNNNNNNNNNNNNNNNNNNNNNNNNNNNNNNNNNNNNNNNNNNNNNNNNNNNNNNNNNNNNNNNNNNNNNNNNNNNNNNNNNNNNNNNNNNNNNNNNNNNNNNNNNNNNNNNNNNNNNNNNNNNNNNNNNNNNNNNNNNNNNNNNNNNNNNNNNNNNNNNNNNNNNNNNNNNNNNNNNNNNNNNNNNNNNNNNNNNNNNNNNNNNNNNNNNNNNNNNNNNNNNNNNNNNNNNNNNNNNNNNNNNNNNNNNNNNNNNNNNNNNNNNNNNNNNNNNNNNNNNNNNNNNNNNNNNNNNNNNNNNNNNNNNNNNNNNNNNNNNNNNNNNNNNNNNNNNNNNNNNNNNNNNNNNNNNNNNNNNNNNNNNNNNACGUCUCCUCCAAAUCCUUUACGAAAAUAAGAUAAUACUAUAGUCACUAAACAAUAUAUCGCAUAUACAUAUCACGUAUAUCGAUACCCACUUAUAUACCCCUUUAAACUUAUCACAUAUCACUUAACACGUAAUCAUGCUUUGACUCUACCAUAUAGUCAAGUCAUAUUCCACAUAACAUAUUACCAAUCACUUAUCAUAUGAAUCCUAUCGAAAAUCCCGACAUCGUCUCGUCUAUUUAUUAGACUAUCCACCCGUUAUCCUAUCUCAAUCAACAAAUCAACCAACCACAUCCAAUCACUAUAAUCCAUAUGCUUUUAUUCCGAAAUACUAUCAAGACACGACACUAUAUNNNNNNNNNNNNNNNNNNNNNNNNNNNNNNNNNNNNNNNNNNNNNNNNNNNNNNNNNNNNNNNNNNNNNNNNNNNNNNNNNNNNNNNNNNNNNNNNNNNNNNNNNNNNNNNNNNNNNNNNNNNNNNNNNNNNNNNNNNNNNNNNNNNNNNNNNNNNNNNNNNNNNNNNNNNNNNNNNNNNNNNNNNNNNNNNNNNNNNNNNNNNNNNNNNNNNNNNNNNNNNNNNNNNNNNNNNNNNNNNNNNNNNNNNNNNNNNNNNNNNNNNNNNNNNNNNNNNNNNNNNNNNNNNNNNNNNNNNNNNNNNNNNNNNNNNNNNNNNNNNNNNNNNNNNNNNNNNNNNNNNNNNNNNNNNNNNNNNNNNNNNNNNNNNNNNNNNNNNNNNNNNNNNNNNNNNNNNNNNNNNNNNNNNNNNNNNNNNNNNNNNNNNNNNNNNNNNNNNNNNNNNNNNNNNNNNNNNNNNNNNNNNNNNNNNNNNNNNNNNNNNNNNNNNNNNNNNNNNNNNNNNNNNNNNNNNNNNNNNNNNNNNNNNNNNNNNNNNNNNNNNNNNNNNNNNNNNNNNNNNNNNNNNNNNNNNNNNNNNNNNNNNNNNNNNNNNNNNNNNNNNNNNNNNNNNNNNNNNNNNNNNNNNNNNNNNNNNNNNNNNNNNNNNNNNNNNNNNNNNNNNNNNNNNNNNNNNNNNNNNNNNNNNNNNNNNNNNNNNNNNNNNNNNNNNNNNNNNNNNNNNNNNNNNNNNNNNNNNNNNNNNNNNNNNNNNNNNNNNNNNNNNNNNNNNNNNNNNNNNNNNNNNNNNNNNNNNNNNNNNNNNNNNNNNNNNNNNNNNNNNNNNNNNNNNNNNNNNNNNNNNNNNNNNNNNNNNNNNNNNNNNNNNNNNNNNNNNNNNNNNNNNNNNNNNNNNNNNNNNNNNNNNNNNNNNNNNNNNNNNNNNNNNNNNNNNNNNNNNNNNNNNNNNNNNNNNNNNNNNNNNNNNNNNNNNNNNNNNNNNNNNNNNNNNNNNNNNNNNNNNNNNNNNNNNNNNNNNNNNNNNNNNNNNNNNNNNNNNNNNNNNNNNNNNNNNNNNNNNNNNNNNNNNNNNNNNNNNNNNNNNNNNNNNNNNNNNNNNNNNNNNNNNNNNNNNNNNNNNNNNNNNNNNNNNNNNNNNNNNNNNNNNNNNNNNNNNNNNNCAAAACGACGAGAAAAACAUGUACUACAACAUGGAAUCAUCAAAACAAUCAAACAAACACGUUUGCAAAAAUCCACUAUUUAAAUCUUAAUAAUUCGAAUUUUAAAACUUCAAUUACUCCCUACCUGUGAAUCUCAUGUUGUUUUUGAUUGCAGAUAUAGAUUCUACUCUUUGAUAUCUUCGAUUUGACUAUUCGCACGCUUGAUUCUGACUCCAAUAACGCCUUCAAAUCCACGUUUGAUUAUGAAGAACACGAAGAACACCGCUCGGUUUCUCUCGGUAUUCGUGCAGAGAAACUGGUGAAAUGAUUUUACGGGUGAAAAUCAGCUCUAGAAAAGUCUAUUUAUAUUUACAAAUAAUUGGUACCCCUUUGGAUCGUUUAUGACAUGAAAAUACGUAUUUAAUAGCUUUAUAUUAAUAAAGCGGGGUCCAAUCGGUACUGGUUUUCAAGAUAAUCAUCAAAACGGGGCUUUUUAACUCAAUUAUUGGUCUGCGGGUCCCAUUGCAAUUAUUACAAGAUAAGGAUGAAUCAAAAUAUCUAGUUUCACGUUUAUCGAGACAACCAGAUAAUUAUCAACAAUUAAAAUACCCGAAAAACUCCGCCGGACCGACUACGGGGAAAACCGUACUCCGGAUCGAAAAAGUCAAAACACGAAAAAUGUCCGGAAUAUUCAAAUUAGGCUAAAGGUCAGUUUUGUUGAAACUUCCGGGAAGAAAAUUUGCUACACCGUUACGAGUGGACUGUUUUACGGAAGCGGUUUUCGAAUAAUCAAAUAAUUAAUAAAUAAAUAUAAAUAUACGCAAUUUAAAUCCGUAAAUCGAUUAUAAAAUCAUAUAACAUCACAUAAAUCGAUAUGAAAAUACCCAAAUAAACUAUAUUUCAUUCUGAGCAUAUAGAAAUUGAAAUCUCUCAAAUACGAACACAUAUGAGCAGUCAACCCAAUAAACCAGAUAAUACAGAAUUCACAAAAAUUCAUAUAUUAAUCAUAUAAUAUUAAUAAUUAAUCAUAACUAAUUAACAAACAAAUUCACCAAUACCACUUAAUCACAUAACACACAUAUAUUCACACAAUAUUCAUACAGAAUUUUCAAAACAAUAUAUGAAAAUCAGUUUUGAAAAUACAAUUAUUUAUCAAUAACACAAUAACCCGGGGGUUUAAAUAUAAAACCUUGUAAACUCAUUAAACUGGAAUAAAAUAUUAAAUCUUAUUCCUUUCUUUUUAAGAAAAUCAUUUAUAAUAUUAAUAAAAAUAUUUUUAAAAUCCGGGUUAUUACAAUCUACCCUCCUUAUAGGGAUUCCGUCCUCGGAAUCAGAGAAAGAAGGAGGACGCAAUAUUUGUAAAAUCCAUAUUAAUCCACAAAACAAGUAUAAUCAUAUAAAACUAUUCACAUAAUCAAUUCACUUUUCAACUAAAGCCAACAAUAAUAUUUAGACAGAUAGAUUUAUAACAAUCAAAUCUAAAUUUAAAAAUAUGGGAUAUUACAUUCUACCCCCCUUAUAAGGAUUCCGUCCUCGGAAUCCUCCGAAGAAACUAAAACGUAUCAUUUAUAAGAUCGUGGUACACGCUUCAUAAUAUCACAUGCUCAUCCGCCUUUGAUCAACUUUGGCAUACCUUCAAAGUUAAAGAAAUAGGAAAAUCAACACCUUCACAAUUGCAAACUUCAUUUCCCAAGAAUCAAUCUUUGGGAAUUUCGGAGGAACAAGAUGUUUUCAAAAUAGGUCACAUUGGAAUACAAGAGUGACUGGGAGAUCAAUACGAUCAAAUGAACUUAAUGUUGCGUGUCCAUAUUAGACACUACUAAAGGUUGUUAACCUUCUUGUAAUCACAACACACACAAGUGAUGGCGUCCCAUCCAACUCCUAUCACACAGACAGGUAUACCUUGUGUCCCCUAUAAAUAGGGUUGUUCAUCCCAAUCAGAUGGAAAGAAUCCAAGAAAUCUCAAGUAGCAUCAAGGAAUGUUAAGGAUUAUCGAGGAAUAUAUUAAGGAAUAUCGAAAAGUUAUCAAGGAAUAUCAAAGAAUGUCAAAGAAUAUCAACGAAUAUUAAGGGAUAUCAAAGAAUAUGAAAGAAUAUCAAGGGAUAUCAAAUAAUAUCAAGGAAUUCCACUGUCUCUUCAUAAACACGCCUUUAUCAUACACUGAUUCAAUACCAACUCACACCAAUAAUCAAUAUCAUUAUCAUCUUAGAAUGUGAGAAAUUGAAGAUCUCAUUUAUCAAAACUUUUGUAGAAAAGAUAUCAUGAUAAUAUCUCGCUGAUGAGAAAAACAAUGCAAAAGAAUCUUUAAUUGAAGAGAGGUAUUGCCAAGGUCUUCUCACAUUCCCGCUCUGCUUCAGUAAAUCAUUGUUCGAUAUAUGUCUUCUUUUCAACGUUCUCGAUAAUCGAUCGAUGUUGACUCGUAAUAGCCUCGUAAGAUGUCAUCGUAGACGUUAUCGUCCGUAAUAACUCUGGCCCAUGUAGUUUACAUUCUUCUACUUUAUCCCAGUUGCCUUUGAAAUCCAUAGCACAAACACGUAACGUAUCUUCGAUUGUCUGGAUCAUCAACCUGUGGGUUAUGGGCCCACCUUGAUGCCAUUUGAAAUCCCGAUUAGCUCGAAGCGUUGUCGUCGAGGACUAACGUUCUAACUUACUCGUAGACAUCAUCUCUAAUAACUGGACUCAAUUCCACGUACUCUCUAUCAUUCACUUCUCACCUAUCAACCUCUAUCUACCAAUCUCUCCUUCUAAUCCAAUACAACUCAUACUCUACACUUACUCUUCAUAUCUUCACUCAAAACAAUAUACAUCUUCCAAAUAUCUGACAUGGUCAACAUACUAUGAACCAUGCAUUUAUAUCAUCCUCAAAUCAAUACAAUAAUCCAAUUUCAAAUAUGCAGUAUAGUCAGAAUACUCUGAACUCUGCAUUUUCACCAUUCUCAACUCAAUCAUUCACUAUCAAACUCUUCUAUAUAGGUCUAAUACUGACCUUUCCCACAAUUCACCAUCUCAAUUAAUCAACAUACUAGAAAUCAUAUGUCUAAACUUAAGAAUCCUAAUCUCUUUAGAUAUCCACACUUAACUUGAUCAUCUAACUAAACUCUAUGCUUCACUCACAUCUCUAGACUAUUCCUAAAUAGUCCGACCAUACCUCUAUGUGAGGUUACACCACAUUCUUCUCUAGAAAACCUAUAACUAUGAUCUAUAUUCUAAUUUCAAAUACUUAUAACCUGUUGCUCUGAUACCAACUGUGACAGUCCAGGAAUCCGGGGGUCUGGAUUCUGACGUCACCACACAAAACCCUUUUAAAACACUUUUGAAACCCUGUAUUUUUUUUUCUAAAGAUAAUAAAAUCAGAGAAUUUAAAACCUGAAAACAUUUAAUAAAAGAUUUGAAUGAGAACAUAAAUCGAAUGAUUUCAAAACCUGAAUUUCAAACUUGAAAGCCAUAAUAGGAGAAUUUCAAGAGAACAUUUAAACUUUAAUAAAUGAUUCGAAAGAGAACAUUUAAACCCCCUAAAAGCAACAGGAUCGCAUCCAGGUUACAGUAUUGAAAUUAGAAUCUACCACUAUUAUUACACAACAUCUCUUACCAAAUCAGAUCAUCUUCGAUAAGAAGAAUCACUGUCAACUAUUCCAGCUUGCACCAACCUCAUCAACUUUCCUGAACACUCCUCGACCACUGGAUCCUCAACUCUGUCUCCUCGCCUAGCAUUAGCCUUACUCACAAUCUCAAUCAAUCAUCUCAUCUUUAAGCCUUUCUGAAAUGGUUAGAAAGGAAUAGCAAGGGUGAGCAACAAUGCUCAGCAAGUAAUAAUAAACAAUGAUAGUUCUGAAAUGAUAUAACAGAAGUUCACGAGUUCAAGAUAUAAGAGGAUUCAACCUGAGUUCAUGAGUUCAUGGUAUUGUAUAGAAUGAUUUACAAUACCUUGCAGCAUUUAAACUGAGAAAUUCAAUCUUUCCAAAGAAUUAUUGAAUUGGACUAUCACAUUUUAAUUAAAACCAAGGUUAGGCAGCUGAUCAGUUCCGCACUAACCCCGAGCAGGCCCCGCCAUGCUCUAUCACUGGAUCCAAGGCACUCAUUGGCCUAACAUGACCACGAAUCUGGUCCACAGGUUUAUAUAAAAACAAUAAUCCAAUUCUCUAAUUCAAUUCAAGAAGCCAAUGUAAAUUAACAGAACAUCAUCAUAAAUAUCAUCAACAACAGAAUAAUUCCAAUUCAAACUUUGAUAAUAAUCUAUUCAUAAAUCAUGAUCCAUCAUUUCAUAAAUCACAGUUCAGGAAAUCCUCAACUAUUCAGUAUCCUCCAUUAUCGGCUAAGCAACUGAAUUUAGCCUGCUAAACCAGCAUGACAAUGGCGGGUUGAAUAAUCAAGAAGAUCCCAAUUCAUUCAAAGCUCUAACUAUCACUGAGCAACACAUGCUUCAAUGACAAUCUGAACUUCGAAUUAAUUUGUAAAACGGAAAUUCUUUAGAAACUUGAAGAUUAGAAAGAAUGGGUCAGAAUACUCGCACUUUCGAACAUUGAAAAGAAAGGUAUGAAUACUUGAAACAUAUACCAAAGGAAUGGAUCAGAAUAUUUGCAAUAUAUCCAAGAGAAGGGUUUAGGAUACUUGCCUUAAAUCUGACUCCAGUUUCACAGCUCAAUCUCAUCUUUCAACUUUCACAAUCUAUGCAUCUCGUAAUCUCUAGACCAUCUCUAGCUAUACUCUAUUCGCCACAUCGCUUCGCUUACUCGAUUCAUCCCUUAUUCGCUUUGCAAUACCAUUCCGACUUUCUGACGUCUUCGAGCGUACACGUCUCGUCCAAAUCCUUUACGAGAAUAAGAUAAUACUAUAGUCACUAAACAAUAUAUCGCAUAUACAUAUCACGUAUAUCGAUACCCACUUAUAUAUCCCUUUAAACUUAUCAGAUACCACGUAACACAUAAGCAUGCUUUGACUCUAACAUAUAGUCAAUCAUAUUCCACAUAACAUAUCACCAAUCAAUUAUCAUAUAAAUCCUUAUCGAAAAUCCGACAUCGUCUCGUCUAUGUAUAAGACUAUCCACCUGUUAUCCUAUCUCAAUCAUUAAUCAACCAACAAAAUCCAAUAACUAUAAUCCAUAUAUUCUUAUCCAAUAUCAAUCAUACGAAUCAUUUAUCACUUCACAAUAUCAAAACUAACACGUACUUCACAUAAUCAUCACUUGAUAGCACUUAGAUCACAUAUUAUCACAUUAUGCAUACUUAUCAACAAUUAUUCACCUUAUAGACUCAGCCAUAUAGUCACAUCAUAUUAAAAUAGACGUUAUAAGCUUCUGUCUCUCUUUCGUUUCACUUGAUUCCGACUUACGGAUCAAAAGUUAUGCUCAAAACAGUUUUCUCACUCUCCUAUCGGCACAUAACACAUCCAACCAAUAGCAGACAACACACAACACAUAAGGUUUCCCAUCCCAAUUGAUAUUAAAUCAAGUCUUGGGUUAAAAAUGAUUUUUCGGGAAUUUUCUGGAAUUUUUAAACAUUUUUCGGAAUUAAAAUCGAUAAAAGAAUCACUUUUCGGAUAAAUAAUCAAGUCCCAAAUACUUGAAAUUGGACUUGAAAUCAUUCAUAAACAAUUAUCGAGCCUUGAAAAUAAUUUAGAAAAAUAUUUUAAAGCUCGAAACUAUUUUUCGGAAUUUUUAAAUCAAAAAGGAUAAUUAAAUCCAAUUAAUUAAUCAAUUAAAUCAAUUAAUAAUUAAUUAAAAUAAUUAAUCAAUUAAUAUUUAAAUUAAUUGACUAAUUAAAAUAAUUAAUUACUAAUUAAAAUUAAUUAACAAACUAAUUUAGAUUUAUUUUUGAAUAAAGAAAUAAUUAAAAACUAUUUUUGGAAUUUAAAAUAAUUAAAUAAAACAAUUUUAGGAAAUUACAUCAAAAAGGUUUAUUUUGUAAACUUUUGAAAAUUUUCAACCAGGGUUUAAACUGUAACUUUAGAAAGUUACAGGGGGUGAUAUGUAACUUUUAAAACUUGGGUAUGAGAACUGUAUCAUUUUCGAAAGUAGGAGGGCCAAACUGCACUUUUGCAGCGGCACCUCCCCCCCGUCGCCGUUAAUCGCCGGAAUCGGCGUUUCCGAGCUCCUUUCCCCACCAGAAACUGCAGAUAGGAUCUUUGAGCAUCCAAAAACUUAACCACGCCAUCAGAUUAAUCAGAAGCGGCCCUAUUUGGCCGGAAAAUUCAUAUAAAAGCUCGCCGCCGGCGAGUUUCUUUUGAAACUCCGGCGAGCCCUUUCUUGACAUCCCACAUAACCUUCGAACACACACGCACGUUCCUCCCAUCACACUCUAUCUGUUUGUCAACUCAAAACUCACCCAGAAUUAGCCAAUUACAAAACCCCAAUCUUCAAUUGAAAAUAUUCAAACUAACCUCAAGAACACUCCUCAAGAAUUAAACAUGAAUUUCUAUAUGUUAUCGAACUCGAAAAUCAACAUAUAAUAUACCAAAACGACGAGAAAAACAUGCUCUACAUCAUAGAAUCAUCAAAACAAUCAAACAAACACGUUUGCAAAAAUUCACUAUUUAAAUCAUAAUAAUUCGAAUUUUAAAACUUCAAUUACUCCCUACCUGUGAAUCUCAUGUUGUUUUUGAUGAUUGAUUUGGGUUCUACUCUUCGAUAUCUUCGAUUUGACUAUUUGCACGCUUGAUUCUGACUCCAAUAACACCUUCAAAUCUUCGUUUGAUUAUGAAGAACACGAAGAACACCGCUCGGUUUCUCUCGGUAUUCGUGCAAAGAAACUGGUGAAAUGAUUUUACGGGUGAAAAUAAGCUCUAGAAAGGUCUAUUUAUAUUUACAAAUAAUUGGUACCCCUUUGGAUCGUUUAUGACAUGAAAAUACGUAUUUAAUAGCUUUAUAUUAAUAAAGCGGGGUCCAAUCGGUACUGGUUUUCGAGAUAAUCAUCAAAACGGGGCUUUUUAACUCAAUUAUUGGUCUGCGGGUCCCAUUGCAAUUAUUACAAGAUAAGGAUGAAUAUAAUAAUCAAAAUAUCUCGUUUCACGUUUAUCGAGACAAACUGGAUAAUUAUCAACAAUUAAAAUACCCGAAAAACUCCGCCGGACCGACUCCGGGGAAAACCGUACUCCGGAUCGAAAAAGUCAAAACACGAAAAAUGUCCGGAAUAUUCAAAUUAGGCUAAAGGUGAGUUUUGUUGAAACUUCCGGGAAGAAAAUUUGCUACCUCGUUACGAGUGGACGGUUUUACGGAAGUCAAAUAAUUAAUCAAUAAAUAUAAAUAUACGCCAUUAAAUCCGUAAAUCGAUUAUAAAAUCAUCUAACAUUCCAUAAAUCGAUAUGAAAAUAUCCAAAUAAACUAUAUUUUCUCCUGAGCAUAUAGAAAUUGAAAUCUCUCAAAUACUAACACAUAUGAGCAUUCAGCUCAAUAAACUAGAUAAUACAAAGUUCACAAAAUUAUAUAAUAAUCAUAUAAUAUUAAUAAUUAAUCAUAACUAAUUAACAAACAAAUUCACCAAUACCACUUAAUCACAUAACACACAUAUAUUCACACAAUAUUCAUACAGAAUUUUCAAAACAAUAUAUGAAAAUCAGUUUUGAAAAUACAAUUAUUUAUCAAUAACACAAUAACCCGGGGUUUAAAUAUAAAACCUUGUAAACUCAUUAAACUGGAAUAAAAUAUUAAAUCUUAUUCCUUUCUUUUUAAGAAAAUCAUUUAUAAUAUUAAUAAAAAUAUUUUUAAAAUCCGGGUUAUUACAAUCUACCCUCCUUAUAGGGAUUCCGUCCUCGGAAUCAGAGAAAGAAGGAGGACGCAUAAUCAGUAUAAUCCAUAUUAAUCCAUUGAACAAGUAUCAUAACAUAAAACUAUUCACAUAGUCAAUUCACUUUUCAACUAAAGCCAACAAUAAUAUUUAGACAAAUAGAUUUAUAAUAAUCAAAUCUAAAUUUAAUAAUAUGGGAUAUUACAGAGCGGUCAUUUAGAGGCCUUAGCUGGUGAUCCGGGCUGUUUCCCUCUCGACGAUGAGGCUUAUCCCCAUCGUCUCACUGGUCGACCUUGACCUUAUUUUGAGGUCAUAUCUAGACAUAUCUAGACAGGCGUUAAAAUUAUUGAUACAUAUGUAUUGAAAACUAGUUUGUUAUCUUCUCAUAAAUCAUGAAGCAAAAUAAAUGAAAUGCUGAAUUAAACCAAAUACAAUAUCACACAUUACUACUGAUAAGGAUAUUAUAUCAAAUGACAACUCAAAUAAUAUUCUAAAUUGCGGUUCAUGUUAUUGUUAUAGUAGUAUUAAAUUGAAGAUCUACUAAUAGCAAAAAUAUAAUAUAAAAAAUGUGAGAAGGAAUGUGUAAAAAGUGAUAAAUAAAUAUUUAAUUAUUACAAAUCAAAUCAAAAAUGAGUUAGAAAAGAAUAAAAAGUGGAUCUAGAUUUAGAGAAUGACUAAAUUUUUUAUAAUAUAUUUCUAAAAUUAUAUAGCUAAUACGUGGAAUAGUUAGAGCAACUCCAAUGCAUUAGACAUGUAAGGUAAAAGUGUUUAUUUGGCACCUACAUGACAUCCACGUGGCACAUUUUAGAUAAUAAAUAAAAUUUCAACACUCUAUAUAUAACAAAAAUUGGGGUAGUUACAAUUCUAAAACUUCUAAAAUUAUUAUAUACUCCCUCCGUCCAGGUUUAUAUUACCGGUUUACUGUUUACACGUAUUUUAAUGUGUUCGAUAGAUGUACUUGGAUAUAAUAUUUUUUCAUAAUUUUUAUUUUGUUUAAAAGUUUAAAGUUUAAUUUUUAAUAUAAAAAAGAAAUCACGAAAAAAUAUUAUGUGCAAGUACCUCUUUUACCUACCUAAAAAAGCAUGCAAAAAGUGAUAAGGUCAUAUAAAAUGGGACGGAAGGAGUAUAAUUUUAAAUAAUAUAAUCAUACAUAAUACCAUUGGAGCGAACCUAGAACCUCUUUAAGCAAGUCCAAGAGAUGUCUUCAAACAUGUCCUAAGUCAUAAUUUGAGGCAUUUGAUGAAAAAUAUUGAUCCAACAAUGUCCCUUUUAUCACUAUGACAACCUAUUCAAGUCUUAUUAGUAAGACAUCUCUCUCUUUGCUCUAUCCUAUAUUUUUAUAUAAAAUUUUCUACCCACCCUCUUUUGCUCUCUACUUUAUAUUGUGUUUUAAUGAUGAAGAAAAUUUUUUAAUAAUAAAAUAUUAAACAUAUAUUAAAAAUAACACAUGUUGUACUUGAACUUAGAUAAACAUAUCCUAAGUCUAGAAUUUCAAUAAAAAUUAGUAAUAUUUAAUAGAGUUAAUUACAGUUUGUAACCCCUAGGAUUGCUCCAAACGCACUUAAGAUCCUGAACUAUCAAACGUGACAUAAUGCACCCUGAACUUUACAUUCCCGUGCAAGUUGUAACCCAUAGUCACUAUUCCAUCCAAAUAUGCCGUUAACUUUAACUGUUUGAGAGGUAACAGUGUGUAUAGUAGUUUCUAACAGCUACUUUACCCCCUCUGACUCCUCAAAGUUUAUGUAUUAUAUUUUGAAAUUAUUUCUGAACACACACAACGAUGUAAAAACUAUUAAACUAAUUUUUAAAAUAUGUAUUUAUUUUAAAAUUUUAAAAUAAGUUACAUCGUUUAUGUAAAAAUAAUAAUAAAUUUUCAGAUUUUAAAUCUAGAUACAUAUUUUAAACUUAUUUUAAAUUUUUUUACAUCGUUUUAUGUGCUCAGAAAUAAUUUCAAAAUAUAAUACAUAAUUUUUGAGGGGUCACAAGAGGUAAAGUAGCUGUUAGAAACUAAUAUACACACUGUUACCUCUCAAACAGUUAAAGUUAACGGCAUAUUUGGACGGAAUAGUGACUAUGAGUUACAACUUGCACGAGAAUGUAAAGUUCAGGGUGCAUUAUGUAACGUUUGAUAGUUCAGGAUCUUAAGUGCGUUUGGAGCAAUCCUAGAGGUUACAAACUGUAAUUAACUCUAUUUAAUAUUUCUUGUUCUUAUCCAAUUAUUAAUGAAUACAUCCUCGUCAAUAUCACGUGACAGCCCACAGAUCGAUUAAACAAACACUUAUCCAUCUCUAUCUAUAAAUACACGUACACACACAUCUCCCCUCUCACUCACUACCAAUAAUACACACAGUUGCAAAUAAACAUGAAGAGCACAGGAAAGAGCAGCUCAAAUCCCAAGGCAACCGGAAAAUCCGGUCACGAAGCCCGAAAAGAUCGCCAGUCCGGCACCGGAGUCACCGGAUCACCGAAGAAAGGCGGUCACGGCGGCAAGUUCACCUGGUCCGGCGAUAACGCAAACCUCGGGAACGAUGAGUUCAUCGUCGCCGUUGAUCGUAAUGACCCUAACUUUGAAGAUCCCGAUGUUGCUGUAGCGGAGAAUUAAUAGAUUAUUAUUCGAUAGAUGUAUGUAUGUAUAUGUUUGUUUUUCUGGUAUUAAGUUGUAUCGAUAUAUGGAUUUAUCUCUGUAUGAUGAAGUAUCGAUCAUAAUAAAAUUGUCGCGAUUUAAUUUUUCUCGUAACAUCGAUCCGGUCCGGAGUCCGAAAAUAUGUUUAUAAUAAUAUAAUGAAAGAUUGUGAUAAUAUGCAUAUCAGAAUACAAUGCAACAACGAAGUGUUGUGUGUGAAAUUAGAAUGAUACAAGAGCAUAUGUAUGUUUUCAACUGCAGGACACUAAACAAGAGGCGAAACUCGAUCAAAUCAAAAUUUAAAACUUGCUGAUUAUGUAACAAAGUGUUAUUAGAGACCGGAAGCACGGUGGAUGCUGCUUCGUUGAGUGGAUUGAGUUUACAUUUACAGGUACACUUCACUUUCCUUGUUCUGUUGCUAUGUGUUAGUUACAUUUUUAGAGAAUGUAGUAAUUGUUUGGCGAAUAAUUGUAAAUUUUUAAAGACUGUGUAAUUGUUUAGGGAUUAAUUGUUUUGUUGUUGAAGGCGGCUCUACGGAUCAGAAUAUCUGGACAUAUAUAAUCCUGAAUUGAAGCAUUGUUGCAAUUUGUUGAUUUUGUAAUUUGGAUCUGUGGAAAAAGGAUUCUGUUGAACUUCGUUUCUUCGUGUAUUUUCUUUCUGUUUCAUCGUUGGAAGGUCUCGGUUAGGUGAGAAGUGCUAGAGACACAAUGCAUUUGUUAGGGGAAUUUCGGAAAAUAAAGUUGUUACAAGUGUGUUGAGUUCUUAAUUUGGAUAAGUACUGGAAAAAAGAGUUUGUCGAAAUUCUUUGUAUUAUUUUUGUUCGUUGCAAAUGCUGAUGGUAAGAUAUAAUGUAGGAAUUUUCUGAGAAAAAAAAUAGAAUAAGGUAUUAAGAUAUUUCGAAAUGGUCGGCCGUUACUUGACUUCAUUAUAGGAAAUUCACUUAAAUUUAAGCAAAUCAAGGCAUUUUGCAUAUGGUGCUUAGGACGGAAGCAACUGUAUAAGUCCUGAUCCAAAGUUGUUCGUCUUAGAUUGAAUCAUUGUUAAGUGCAGCAUAAUAGUAACAGUUUUGGCUUGCUGAACUGAGUGGGUGCAAGGAGCAUUGGUAAUAUAUCAUAGUGCUUGUUUGGCAACUUUUGGUAGUAGUAACUCCCAAAGCUUCGAUAUAGAGGACCUUUAUUGCUAUAUGGUUAGGUGGUGGUUCACCUUGAAAUUGUAUCUGGUAUGGCAAAGAAAUUGCUAUGGGAUUAAGUAUACAAUAUUAGUUAACCGGGCUCACUUAUCACUGAUCAGGAUUCCCCUUGGUAUUAUUCUGUCUAUCAUUUAUUUUAUAUAUUGCUGUAUAUGAAUAACAUUCAUUUGUUAAUUCUAAGACUUCAUAAUAUAUUGUAUUAUGUAUAGGAUACUUCAAGUGUACUUCCUCUCCUUUAUAUUAUCUUUACUAGCUUAUGACCCGUGCCAAGCACGGGUUUAAAUUAUUUUCUUAAAUUUAUUAUAUAUUAUAAUUAUAGGGUCGCGCUCAUGAGAAAACCUAUCCUUAAAAUAGAACCUUAGUGAUAGAAUCACUAAGUUUCUGCUGCAGAAUCCUAAAUUUUAAAUAGAUUUUCAGGAUCUAAAUCUAAAUACAUGUUUUUUGUAUCGUUGUAUGUGUUCAAAAGCAAUUUAAAAAUACAAUACAUAAAUACGACACUUUUUGCAUGUGCAGUCCGUAGAACCCUAAUUAAUACUAGAAAUAACGCUAAGGUUUCUUAGGCUAAGAUUUCUAAGAGGACCAUGACCCUAUAAUUAUAAUUAUAAUCUCUUUUAUUUGAUUAUACACUAUCUUUGUUUAGAUACAAUACUUUCUAUGUAUUGACUUUUGAUCCUUUUUUACUUUUUUUUCUACAAAAAUUAGGGUUUUAUAUCAAACCAGCUACCUAUGGAACGAAAUAUCUCAAGUAGACCACUUAUUCUAACGAGGUCUCAUUCAAAACCUUAAAAUUAAAUUUUAUAUCAUGUCGCUAACUCCAAUUUAAAAAAAAGAUGAAAAAUGUUAAAAUAUUCACUCUGUUUUAACGAGGAUUAUCUGUAGAAACAUAGUGAGAGCGAGGAUACUGAGAAUAAUGGAUCUCAUCACUCUAUUUUUACAUUUUUCGUCUAUUUUUUUCAUAAAUUAAAUUGUUUGAGUUUCAAAAAUUAAAACAAAUAGUUAUGUUGGUGAUAUAAUUUUGUUGAUGGGAUAGUCGUUACAUUACAGAAUCCUGAAAAAUAUGGAAGUCUUUUCAGAGUAGUAUAAUAAUAGUAAUUAUUACAAAUAAACAAAAAUUACAUGAUAAUAACCAAAUUUUGGUACUUUGGUAUUUACUAUUUCUGAUGUUCCACUGAAAGGGGGUUUUGCUAAUUAAUGAAGAGUAUAGAUUACACAAAAUUAACCUUCUAAUUUUUGGAAACCUGAAUAAUUGGAACAAAUGCUGUUUAGUAAGUGGAUUUGCUCGACACAAUUGUACACUUACAUCAUCUUUUGUCGUUUCAUUUAAACUGUAUCAGUUAAAAUGUUGACAAUGUCCACCAAGGUGCACACAACACUCUGAGAGUAGAACUUGAGAUCACAGGAUACACUUUUUCAUCCUACUUGAUCACAGUUCACAAAAGAAAAAUAUAAUUGAACCAUCCACCUAUAAAUUUAGUUUUGCUGUUUGUUUUCCGAAUAUUUUUAUGCAUUUAUGUUAGCACACCAUUGAGGACUAGUGACACAUGUAUUAUAGCUUUGGAGACUCUCCAAAUUUCAUGUUGUACAGCACUCCAUGUAUUAUUGGCCAAAUGUAUACUUGCGCUUGGCCCUCUAUCUGGUGUCACUGAUCCAGGGUAGGAUACUGAUCCAUGAGCAAUAUGCUCUGAUGGUGCAUAAAUCUGAGAUACGGAGCAUGAGCAGUAUGCUCUGAUGGUGCAUAUAUAUGGUUUUAAUUUUAGACUGGAGGUAUUCAAAGUUAGAAUAGCUGUUNAGGGAAAGACGCAUACCAAGUGCUUAUACCAUGGUCGUCCAAGCAGUCCAUCUCUGUCUAUAAAUACUCGUUCUGCCAUCAUCAGUCUGUAAUUAACUGUCUCACCUGCCAAGCUUUACUUCUUCACAUUGAUGCCCAUCCUUCGGAUCCUUGUAUUGCCUGAGAGUCUAGCCUCUUUUAUAUCUAGACAUUGAUAAUUGAGCUUUAGUUUCUUACUUCUUAGUGAUGACUGAUGAGCUAUACCAUUCUUCAUAAUUAAUAUAUGUGGCUGCUAUUUUCAAAUCUUCAAUAGACUUGAACAAGGGAGUGAGUUUGUCCUUUUCCAAAACCUCACUCAUAAUGUUGUCAUCAUAUUGAGUGGUAGACUAGGUAACCUGCAAUUGGCAGCCAAUCCUAUAGGUCCCAAAUAGCAUAACUCCUUUACAAUUAAUACCAAGCAGUCGAAGUGGUAAUAUAUCUUUUUUAUAAAUGAUUAUACAACCAUGUUAUCUGCAGUAUGUUCUUUUUCCUGGUGGCAAAAGGCUCUGCAAUUUUAGCACACAUUAUUCAUGUCGAGCUCAAGAUUAGUUCUAUAUUGUAGGCAUGGGUCAGUUGUGUUAUAUCUCUUUCUUAAGAUUGUAGCUUAGCGGCAUAAUCAUGUUGUACAAGCAGCACUAUCAGAGUUCCUAGGCAAUCAUAUCUAAUGGUCUAAAUGAAUGCAAAACAAGAAGUUAUAAAGUUAAUAAUGUGCUAUUUUGUUAUAUUAGCAUAUGUUAUUCCUUCAAAAAAAAAAAGUAUAUGUUAUAAAAUCUCUAUGUUAUUUUGUAAUUAAAUAUAAACAUCACCUGAAUAAGAGAUGAAUCUGAGGUUAAGUACCAUUUUUUUUUUGCUUUUUACUAAGAUUUUACUGUGUUCCACGUUCUAGACCUUUCUUUAAAUCAUUUUCACUUUCUAUUAUGGCAUUUUCCAGCAGACCUUGCAUGGACUAAAUAAACCGAGUUAUAUAUAUCAUAUAUGCAUCUCCUGGCCAAAUUUCUAAUAUAGGUCUCCCUGGUUCUUGCAUAUGUUGUUGUGUGACCUUUGUAAGCUAAAUUACAUUCUAUAAUAAAUUCCUGUUCUAAUUCUUAGUUUCUUUUAUCUGUUUCAUUUUGCAGUAAAACACUGUUAUAGUAUAAUUUAUCUUCUGCUAUAUUAAGGCUGGAAAACGUUAGAUGCUUUGUUUCUUGUUCCAAUUAUUUUCCUGUCACAGUUCCUGAUGUCAAGUCUACUAGAUAUGAGGUAGAUCUGAUUUUCCACAUUUUUCUAUAUAACAUAAUCCUAAUCUUUGCUAAGCUAUCAAGUGAAAACCAAUGUUUUAUAAACAUAUUUAAGUCACAUAUGUGUAGUUAUAAACUUAUAAUCAUGAAUACCUGAUACAUAUAAGUGCAUAAAAGAUGAUAUUAUAUUACCUUUACCAAAUGAUGUAUCAGCUGCUGGAACACCUACAUUCUGUAAAAAUGCUGCAUAGUAUGAACCUGCACCUCCAACCUUCCUAUCUUUAAAUGUACAAUAAUUUAUUCCAACUGAUAAAUUGAGCCUAAAAUAUCAAUCAUCUUAUAGCACGUCUGGAUCUGGUGAAACAGCUCAUUUUCUAUACUUAUUACGAAUAUGGGGUUCACCCUUCCCAUCUGAAAUGUUGUUAUAUGCUUACCUUAAGAUUGACGGCAGCUCUGGUCCAUGAGUCAAAGAUUGUAUGUGAUGGGUUAUCUGGAUCUUGAACCUUAAAGAGUAAUUUGACAUCUUAGGCAUGAUUUGCGUGUGAUAUUUCUUUAAAAAUCUGACAUCCAUCUCCUUUAGAUGCACCCUGGCAAAUUCAUAUUCUAAAAUCAAACCUGGCACAGGCAUUAGUUUAGUUUAUUCUGUUGUUUGUCAUAGUUUAUAUUACAAUCACUUGACAUGUUAGGGAUCAUUUUGUUAAUGGCAAUGGGAGUGCGGUAGACAGGAAUAGGAAAAUUUGGAAUCCCAUGGGGUACAUCAAUAUCUCCUCCCUUGUCUACCUCAUGGUCAGAUUUUCUUCACGUCUUUUUACUUGGCCAGCCUUGCGGGGUUGGAUCUUGGAUCACCUAAAUUUUUAUACAGGGAACCCGCCUGGACUCCACUUGGUGGUAUCCACUUAUCACCAGGAAACCCUUUUGCAUCACCUCCACCACCAUAGUCUUUUCUAUCUGUGACAACACGGCCCCCAUAGCACCUGGUUCGUAUGCAUCUGUCACAAUGUACCCUCUAUAUAAUCGUCCUAUCCUAGUUAAUAUUACAGUACCUAGACUAUUCGAACCUUGGGCGAGUUUUCUUCUAGUGUAGUGAAAUUCUUGUGAAGUCCUUAUUAAAGUUAUCCUCGGCUCCUUUGUAAUCCUGGUUCUGAUAUAUAUUUUAAUCCUCUAGUACAUGUUCCACCAGUUUUUAUGUCGAUGGUCGAAUGAACAGUGUCUCUAUAGAAGUUAUUCAUCUUACUUAAUACCUUGUCAAGUUUGGAAACAAUAACUGGUUUGGCUUGCUGGUGCAAGUUGGUGUGAGAAUAAGCUUAUGUGAAGAAAUCGCGGUUUAUUGGUUCUUGGUUGGCAUUUACAUAUGUAGAUUGAACUUUAGUGCUCUGUAGUUAGGUGGUGGCUCACCGCUCACCUUAAGAGUUUAAACUUUGCCUAGUUGUAUUGGCUCAAGGUAGUAAUUCAUUUGUUUGAAACUAUAUGGAAGUUAACAAUAACAUAAAAUAGCACAUAGAGCGAUACCUGCUGACUGCUAGGUCUAUGUAUGUAUUAUCAUGUCCAGUUCUAUAGUUUUUGAAAACCUUGAAAGAAUAUGUCCCUGCAAAUGUUUAAUAUUCCAUGUUUUUUUCAUUAAUGUAAGUUGUUUUCCUAUAGUAAUGGUAGUGGCCUGUCAAAUAGUUGUCCACAAUCUUCUAUUGCCAUUAUUUCAAAUUUGGAUUUGUUAUUAUUUUGACACUGUUCACCCAAUUGCACACAACUCUCAGAAUUUGGCUUUGAUAAUAUAGGACAUUAAUUUUUCAGCUUAUGUGCCCGCAAAGAAAGUAUUUAUAAAAGCUUUCACCUUGAAAUAAUGAGUCCCGGAUUGUUUAUUUUGCAUAUAUUUUAUGCACUCAUGUAAGCACACCAUUUAGGACUAAUGAUACAUGUAUAACAGCUCUAGAGACUCUCCAGACUUCAUGUUGGACAGAACUCCAAGAUUCUAUUGUGUUCUCUUGCUUGGCUUUUUCUAUGGCAUCAGUGAUGCCAGGGAAGGAUACUGAUCCAUAAUCAUCAUGCUCUGAAGGCGCAUAAAUCUGAGACAAAAGACAUUUGCUUUUUAGUAUUUAGAUGAAUAUAUGAUUUAAAACUGAGACUAUUUGAAGAUUGAGUUGUGAGUAUUGAGUAUCUGUUAUGAACCCAAAUUCAACAACAAACAUUUGUUAGGUUUUGUUACAGGAAAGAGACACAUACCAAGUGUUUAUACCAUUGUCGUCCAAGCAGUCCGUCUCUGUCCAUAAAUGCUCGUUCUGCCAUCAUCAGUCUGUCAUUUAACUCUCUGACUUGCCUUGGUUUAGUUCCCCACAUUGAUGCCCAUCCUUUGGAUCUUUCAAGUGCCUGAAAAUCAAGCCUUGUUUAUUUUCAUAAACGGCAAAGUAAGAUCCUAUUUCUUAGUGAUAUAAGCCGCACCUUUAUUUCAUUAUCUAUUUUGGUGGCUGCAAUUUUUAAAUCUUCAAUAGACUUGAACAAGGGAGUGACGUCUAUGUUCUUAUCAAUAAGCUCAUUUGUAAGUUCGUCUGCAUUUUUCUGUAUUAGAUUCAGAAAUGAAUGACAAUGUGUGGCAGAUACGUUAAGUGGUGUAUGUCAUGUACUUGAAUAUGCGGCUAAUAUAGGAUGUAGGUAUACCUGGAGCUCAAAUGCAUAGGACAAAUAAUUAAAAGGUAAAAAUUCCUCAUCUGCAAGUGAAAGAGCUACUAAGCCCCAAAUGCUUGCCACUGUGCCAAAAUAACGUUUUAAGCACAAAUGUUAAUUUACAAGUAUGCUUAUGCGUGUAUAGGACUAGAGUUCUAAUGGUGUAAUUGUGCAGAUAUGCUUGAUAUGGAAGACACAAAAACCUGCUACAUGUCUGCGAAACAUCGGGUCACCAAAAUCUCUCAUCCAAAUGAAGUCAUCAUACAUUGAGUGGUAGACUGGGUAACCUGCACUGCAACUGAUAUAGUAAGUCAUAAAUUUAGCAACAAUAAUGAUUCCUUUACUUGCAACAGUAAGUGGUUAUAGAAAUGCCAACUGAAUCUUAUUUUAUGCAGAAUGGUGUUUUCCUUGAUAAAGUUCUGCAAUAUUAGCACACAAGUUUUGCACAACUAACUCUAGAAGGGGGAUGCUAGAGGCAGGUCAGUUGUCUGUGGCAAGACAUUUUAGAGUUCCGACGUUAUGUUGCUAACCAUUUCAUCAGUUCAUUUUAGCUUCAAACUCCCAUUUAUUUACAACUUUAACAAUGCUUGUGAAUCGUGACUGGGGUUGGGUAAAUUAAUUCCUAUCUUAAAUAUCUACCUAUAAUUUUUAUUUAGGCCUCAUUUUGCGGUAGAAGCCAGGAAGUUCCAAUUUUUUUUUGUUAGAGCUAUAAACUUGAUCCUUUGUUCCUUGUUGCUAAUUCUUACUGUCAUAGAUUCUGAUGUUAAGUCUAUUAGAUAUGAGGUGGAUCUACCUUCACAUUUCUAUUGCAUCCUAAUAUAUGACCAUUAACUAUCAAGUAAAAAUCAUAAAAAUCUUCAAGUCACAUAUAUGAUGUAUGCAGUUAUUAACAUUACAGAUUAGGGUAUGAUCUGUAACCUUAGCAGAUAAAAGUUCAUAGAAUGAAGUGUUGCUACCUUCACCAAAAGACAUAUCAGCUGCUGGAAUACCUACAUGCUGUAAAAACGGUGCAUAGUCUGAACCUGCACCUCCUAACCUUCCGAUCUUUGUAAAAACAUUAGUUUAGUUGAACUUAGAUUCGAGUUCAAGAUAUUAAUUAAGACGAGGCCUUAUUCUGGAUCUAGAGGAACAAACUAUUAUCUUCUGAUCACAUAUUUGGGCUUCUUCCUUUCCUUUAAAAAUGUCAAAUACUUACCUUUGGAUGAUCACUAGUGCCAACCCACGAGUCAAAGAUAGAUUGUGAUGAGUUUUCUGGAUCUCGAACCUCAAAAAGACAUUUUGAAAUUUUAGUUAUAGUUUGUGAGUAAAAAAUUGGAAACACUGACAAUUUUUAUGUUUCUAAAAUCAACUCUAGCACAGGCAUAUAGUUUAUUCAGCCGCCAAGCACUGCUUUGAUUGCAAUUACUUAAAAGUGGUGCUGUAGGCAUAUAGCAUUUAUAAGACUUUUCAGUAUAAUAUCAAUAAUAUUUGUAAUUUUUUGUAUCGGUAAGCUUUAAAAUGUUGCCAUUGCUUGCAACUGCAAUUUUUAUUGGCAAAUUUUUUGUUCUGGUUACAAACUUAUUUAAUACCUGUUUAGUAGCUUGCAUCAAUAAUUGAUCCAGCUGUGGAGUUGCUGCAGCUUGAAAUCCUGCUCCACUAACUGCAACAUCAACAUUCAGGUAGGCUACAACCCUUGAGGUUAGCAUUUCCCUGUUCUCUUCAACCCAUUCUGUUGAACCUAUCUGUACAUUGCUAAUAAUUUGAAUUUAGUAAAAAUUUUCAUGUGCUGUCUACUGUCUUUGUGCAUGUGUAGUGUGUGUUCCUUGAAAUUGAGAGGUAGAGAAAGAGACCAGGCCAUACUCCUCUGCAUCCCAAUUACAAAAGAUGAUUGUCCGUCUUGGUUUCCACCCCUUUUUCUGCAACUUGCUUAGCCUAUCGGCAACCUAAGUAGCACAUAUAAUCAAGUGAAUGUAAGGGUUAGUACUUUCACUUGGAGACCUUGGUUUGACUUGUACUAUUUUAAAGAGGAUGCAUGAAUGCAAGGCGACCUCAAGCAAAGCUGCUGUGCCACUGUUGGGAUCAGCAGCUCCAAAAGUCCAUGCAUCUCUAUGAUUACCCAGUAUUACAAACCUGCAAAUGGUUUCCACCUAUAGUAGUUAAAUUUCUACAAAACAAGUUUCAGUGUUUGAUUGAAGUCUGUACAACUCAAACAAAUAAAAUUAAUCUACUGUCAGGGAAACCAAUACCGAUCAGGUUCUUCCUCCCCUUCAAUUAUACCUAUAACAUUUUCUAUUGUAUUAAUGCCUUGUUUUCCCUGCAAAAUAAAAGAACAAUUACAGUGCAACAGUUCACUCUCGGCUAUUAUAUCCCCUGUCAAUUUCAUAGCCACAAUACAGUUAGAAUUAUGGUCCGUCAGUCACUUACAGUGUAACUGAGAUUUAAGAUGCCCGGCCCUGGUCCAAUGUUGUAAACUGGACCAUCUUUGCAUCCCUGCCAGUCAUUGUCUGCCAUUUCUCCACCAAUGGACUUUAUAAUUGCCUCACCGUCUGCUGCUGAUACAGGCAGUGAAGGUAUCAAUGGAAUGUCUCCUCCCUUGUCCACCUCAUCAUCAGAGAUUCUCUCACACCCUCCCGUGCUCGGCCACCCUGUUGUGGUUGGAUCUCCACAUCCAUUAUACAGUGUUCCUACUUGGACUCCACUUGGUGGCAUCCACUUAUCAUGAGGAAACCCUUUUCCAUCACCUCCACCCCCAUAGUCCUUUUUAUCCGUGAAUAACACAGCACCUAUAGCACCAGCUUGGUAUGCAUUUGCCACAAUGUCCCCUCUAUAUAUUUGUCCCAUCCUAGCCAAUACAACAGUGCCCGACACAUUCACCCCUCUUGUUUUCAAAAUCAUAAAAUCUUCCACACGUCCAUAAUUAACAUAGACAACUGGUCCGACCACAGUACCUGAUCUAGCAUAUGCAUAGAACGUAGGUAGGACUUCAUCUGCCACGUCUAUGUAGGGGUCACCCUCGUAUGUCUCUUGUUGAAGUUCAAAUUUAGUAGUUGUGCCCGAAGGUGGAUGAGUCAGUGCUAGUGACCUCGAGACAGGAUAAGUCAAUGAUACUCCAUAUGAUCUAAUAUGUGAUCGGAUAUCAUAGGAAGAUAGAGUAGACAGAACAUAGCGUGCGACCUCAGCAUUAGCUUCAGUGCCUGCAACAUGGGGUCUGCGAGUUGGUGAAUAGAGGUGUUGCGAGACUGAAACAUUGUCUGAAAAGGUACUUGAAAUAUAUAGUAAAGUGAUUGGAUUUUUCUACCUUUGAUUCUCUAUCAUGGUUGGCAUUUUUGGACUGCAUAGCAUCAGAAGUAGAUAUACUCAAAUUAUUGAGGAAGAAAUGUGUAAUCAAUGUGUGAUAUCAUUCUGAUUAUACAAUCUAGAUUAUCUCUUAAUUAAGGUAAUUAGCAUGCGCAUUAUGAGCAUUAUAAGGCAGAGAUAUUUGUAGAAUAGUUAAAGCUGAUAAAAGCCACAUUCUUGAAUAUUUUUUCUGGCAUGAAGAAGCUAAAUGCCAAAAGGAGUGGGGGCAAUGAAAUUAAGUUUUGUUUGUUGAGAGUUGCUUUUCAAAGUCACAUUUCACAAGGGGUUUAAGUCAUACUAAUAAUAGGACCAGUAUAUGUCACUUGUCCAUUUCCUGGUGUAAAGUUAAAAGCUAAUUUCAUAUAUCUGAGUUUCAGUUUGUUUAACAGAAAUCUAUCCAUGUUGGUUUCACAUUAGGGUGUUGUUCUUGGCCAUUGAUGCCAAGCUGUGUAUCUGUAUUAGUACCUAUAGAGGAUUCCAUUAAUAAAUUUCCAGGAGCAAUAAAACAUGCACCAGUGGAUUAAUUAGAUGGGAGAUGGUGUCUGGCAAUCGUAUUCUGACAACAAACUUUAUGCGCUUUUUUAUAGCGGAAUUAUGAAAAUCUGGAAUGUGUGUUUAAAGCGCUGAUAGACAACAUGGUGUCCUGUUCACAUAAAAAAUCAUGGUGUCUUUCGGUAAUUGUUAGGAACCCGGUUCAUGAAGAGUUUUUUAAGUGAAAACCUGAAAUCUUGUGGCCUUUAGGAGUACCUGCAUCUCUCCUGCGUUAGAGUGUUUCUACGGAAUUAAUAUAUUUACUACUGUAUAAAUUUUGUUUGAGCUCUAUAAAAGAACAAUUUGACGAUCCACAACUAAAGAUCAACUUUAACUUGAGUUGGUUUGUUGAGCUCGAGGNAAGGUGGAUGAGUCAGUGCUAGUGACCUCGAGACAGGAUAAGUCAAUGAUACUCCAUAUGAUCUAAUAUGUGAUCGGAUAUCAUAGGAAGAUAGAGUAGACAGAACAUAGCGUGCGACCUCAGCAUUAGCUUCAGUGCCUGCAACAUGGGGUCUGCGAGUUGGUGAAUAGAGGUGUUGCGAGACUGAAACAUUGUCUGAAAAGGUACUUGAAAUAUAUAGUAAAGUGAUUGGAUUUUUCUACCUUUGAUUCUCUAUCAUGGUUGGCAUUUUUGGACUGCAUAGCAUCAGAAGUAGAUAUACUCAAAUUAUUGAGGAAGAAAUGUGUAAUCAAUGUGUGAUAUCAUUCUGAUUAUACAAUCUAGAUUAUCUCUUAAUUAAGGUAAUUAGCAUGCGCAUUAUGAGCAUUAUAAGGCAGAGAUAUUUGUAGAAUAGUUAAAGCUGAUAAAAGCCACAUUCUUGAAUAUUUUUUCUGGCAUGAAGAAGCUAAAUGCCAAAAGGAGUGGGGGCAAUGAAAUUAAGUUUUGUUUGUUGAGAGUUGCUUUUCAAAGUCACAUUUCACAAGGGGUUUAAGUCAUACUAAUAAUAGGACCAGUAUAUGUCACUUGUCCAUUUCCUGGUGUAAAGUUAAAAGCUAAUUUCAUAUAUCUGAGUUUCAGUUUGUUUAACAGAAAUCUAUCCAUGUUGGUUUCACAUUAGGGUGUUGUUCUUGGCCAUUGAUGCCAAGCUGUGUAUCUGUAUUAGUACCUAUAGAGGAUUCCAUUAAUAAAUUUCCAGGAGCAAUAAAACAUGCACCAGUGGAUUAAUUAGAUGGGAGAUGGUGUCUGGCAAUCGUAUUCUGACAACAAACUUUAUGCGCUUUUUUAUAGCGGAAUUAUGAAAAUCUGGAAUGUGUGUUUAAAGCGCUGAUAGACAACAUGGUGUCCUGUUCACAUAAAAAAUCAUGGUGUCUUUCGGUAAUUGUUAGGAACCCGGUUCAUGAAGAGUUUUUUAAGUGAAAACCUGAAAUCUUGUGGCCUUUAGGAGUACCUGCAUCUCUCCUGCGUUAGAGUGUUUCUACGGAAUUAAUAUAUUUACUACUGUAUAAAUUUUGUUUGAGCUCUAUAAAAGAACAAUUUGACGAUCCACAACUAAAGAUCAACUUUAACUUGAGUUGGUUUGUUGAGCUCGAGGUUGACUCGGUUGACAACGAAUCGGCUGAAAACCAAAUGAUAGGUCCGUGAAUAUCUUGAGAUCGGAUCGAAUUGGGUUCAGCUUAAGAUAGUGAGUAAUAAGUGAUAAGUGAUAACUGAUAACUCAUACUCCCUCCGUCCCAGUGAAUUGUAUACAGUUUCCUUUUUGGGAAGUCCCGUAUACAUUCCAAAAGUAGUAAACUUUUAUAAUAUAAAAUAUCAUUACACCAACUACUUUCCUCCACUAUCUAUAUUCUAUAAUAAUAUAAAUACUAUUACACCCACUACUUUCCUCCACUAUCUCAAAUCUAUUAUUAAAUAUUAAUGGAUCCCACCAUUAUACCCACUUUUCAUCUAACUUUACUCAUUUCCUACACAAUUUAUUGGUCUCCGUGUCCCAGCCAUUUGUAUACAAAUGACUGGGACGGAGGGAGUAACUGAUAACUAUCAUUAUUACAUGAGUUUGUUGCAUGAUGGAGUAUUAUUUUUGUGAAAUAACUUAAGGCUUAAAGUGUGAGUUUUGUGCAGUGUUGUAAAAAGCGGGAAUCGGACUUAAUCGGUGAAGUUACGGAACAAGGAUUAAUCGGAGAUUAAUUGAACUAAUCGAGGAUUAAUCGGAUUGAUCAGUGAUUAAUCGGAGAUUUAAUCAGUUCGGCGAGCUACGGAACAAGGAUUAAUCGGUGAUUAAUCGUGAUUAAUCACCGACUUUUAGAACAGAGGUUUUGUGUGUAAAAUAUAAUCACUUGUAUCGCAAUCAUUUCACUAGAUAGGUUAGGUAGUCUCAAAUUCUCAGUGGGCUUUGUUUCCAUUUUUUAUUUUUUUCAAAUAAGGCUGAAAUUCAAACCGAGUUCGGGUUUGAAAAUUAAAUCCAGAUAUUCAAAAGAACAAAAUUUAAGAGGUUGCAACUUGAACUUAUUAUUUUAAAAACUAAACCUUUUUAUUUACUUUUAGUUAUAGUUAUCUUUGUUUGAUUUAAUUUGUUAUUAAUUAUGUUAAUAAUGUGGUGAAACAUUGUUUGAUUUAAUUUACUGAUUUAAUUUAUUUCUAGUUAUCUUAGUUAUGUAAUGGGCUAUAAAACUGCACAUUUUAUAAUAUAGAUGUAAAAUAUGAUAUCUGUAAAAAAAAUUAGUUAAAUUUAAUUAAGCGUUCAUUCCAACGUUCAGUUUGAUUUUCAUUCGGCAAUGAAAUGAAAAAUUAUAUAUUAUUUUUGUAUUUAAUUUCAGAUAUUAUAUAAUAUUAAAGGACUCAAAUAUAUUUAUUUUUAUAAUAAUAUAGUUUAUUCAUAUUUAUGAAUACAGUUUAUUAUUUAAAGAUUUUAUUAAUUUUUUAAAAUAACUUGACUUAUAAAUCAUAUCAAAAUUAUUUUUAAUUUGUAAAAACUAAAUUAAAAUCUCAAAAAUAUUUUACAUAACAAUUUUGUAAGUUAUUUUACAUAUUAAAAUAACUUGGCAUUACUGUUGCUGGCAGGCUUGCAGCAACAUCAUCUUUUUUCUGAAAAGCGGUUAAAAACUGUUUGGUAAAUCUGAAAACAGUUUUUUGGAACACUAUUUUUCAGAUGAAAAGCUGUUUUUAGAAAAAGCAGGUCCGUUGAUACGUUGAAAAAAAAACUUUUUUCCAACUUUUGCAUGAAGCUAUUAUAGAUUUCAGUAUCAAAAUUCACCAAAACAUUAUUUUUAUAUUAUAACUCAAAAUAAGUAAAUAUUACCUCAUAUCUUGAUACAACUUUUUAUUUCAGUUGCAACAAAUUCUAAUUAUUUCCCAAAAAGCACAUUCCCUCUAUUUUUCUUCGAAGAUUAUGGAAUUAUGCCAUAACAUUGAUAUAUAAACUAAAGGGAAAAUAGAUUUUUUUUGCCACCCAAUUUAUUAUUUGUUUAGAAACCUACCAUUGAACUAUAAUUUUUUUCUUUUUUGUCACUAAUGUUAGGUUCGGACUUUUUUUUGUCACUAACGUUAGGUUCGGAUUUGAUUAUUAACACUAUGUUAUUUUUUUAGUAUUAUUAAACUAUAGUGUUAGUAUGCAAUAUAAUGGCGAUCUGAUAUGUGUCUAUAUCUUUAUGUAGUAUCCUAGGUAGUUUACCUUGAAGGACGAGAGUUGGACACGCAUUUUGAGACUCCAAAAAAUUUCAAAAAUUAUUUUAUUUUAUUUUUUCUGAAUAAAAUUUAAUGUUGGUUUUUUUUCCUUAAAAAAACUUUGGAUUUUUUUUGUCACUAACGUUAUGUUUUGAUUUGAUUAUUAACAAUAUGUUAUUUUUUUUAGCAUUAUAAAAACAUAGUGGUAGUCUGCAAUAUUAUGGUGAUAUGAUAUGUGUCUAUAACAUUAUAUACAGUCAUCUAUAUGUCCCUUAGCUAGUUUACCUUAAGUAUGAGAGUUUAACAGGCAUUUUAAGAACCUAAAAAAUUUAGUUUUAUGAAUUAUUUUAAGACUCCACAAAUAUAUAGUAUCACUUGACUUUAUAGUUCUUUACCACUACUUGUCACGUAUUUUAAGGUUCCCACUUUUUAUAAAUAUAGUUCUAUAAGUUAAUUUUGAGAUUUCCUUUCUGAGUAAAAAAAUCCGUACUCUCGUCCUCUAAGAUAAACUACCUAUGACACAUAUGGAGUACUACAUAUAAAGAUAUAGACACAGAUCACUAUUAUAUUGCAGACUACCGAAAAAUAGAUUUCCGAAAAAUAUCGUUUGGAUGGUCAGAAAAUUUAAAUAAAGGUCUGAUUUUAAUUAAAUAUAAUAAAAUUUCCCAAAAUGCCCCUUCAAAAGUUAACGGUAACGGCAGAAGAUAACGGAAAGGGUGCAAAGUGUCUACGGGUUAAAAGUAAGGGGCUGCAUAGUGUUUAUUCCAAAACUAUUAGGUGCAAUGUGCAACAUGCUGAAAUUAAAGGGGUGCCAAAUGCAAUUAACUCUAAAAAGAAUAACAUAGUGUUAAUAAUCAAAUCCAAACCUAACGUUAGUGACAAAAAAAAAAUCCGAACCUAACAUUAGUGGCAAAAAAGAAAAAAAUUAUAGUUCAGUUGUAGGUUUCUAAACAAAUAAUAAGUUAGGUUGCAAAAAAAUCUAUUUUCUCUAAACUAAAACAUUAUUUACAAUCAAUAAAUUCACUAAUGGAUAACCUAAUAAGUAAGAGAAAAAUCUGUACCCAACGUGGUAUAUUAGAUCUUUAGUGCUUGCAGAAGAGAGGGAAAUAGAAAUUUUUAUUGUUUCCAUUGGUCACUCUGUUCACCAAAUUCAGCAAACAAUAUGCAUAUUCUUCAAAUCGUUAAAAAAAAGAGUUCAAAUUUGACAAAAACUUAUAUAUAAUAUAUUUUAAAAAUGUGCAUUAUAUCCUAAUAAUAAUAAUAAUACAAGCCAAACUACUAAUUACAUACACGAAAUAUGUAUUCAAUCCACGAAAAUGCAUAUAUUCCCAACUUUCAAACGGAUAGCUACGAAACAUGCUCUCAUAAUUAGAUGCAUAUCUCCAAGCGUACCUAUUUUCUUUUGAUGUCAUUUGAAAUUAAUAUAAAAAAAAUAAACUAAACUCUUGUUAGAAUUCAUCUAAUAACUUAUAUUUAUUACCUUAUUGAGAUUCUUUUUCAAAUGUUUUGACUUUCAAUUUUUCUUUUAAAUCAAUAUAUGACGGGAAAAUCAAUUUUUCAAAAUUUACACAAAGUUAAGUUUCUAGAAUAUUAAAUUCAAGAUAUCUAAUAUUUUUGCAACAUAGACAAACAAAAAUAAGAAAGUAGAAGCCCGUUUGUGAUUAAUAUAUAUGUUUGUAAAUAAACUCAUGACUGCUAAAUGAACUAUCAUCACACCCUAAGGGAUGCUAGUAUAUUUUGGAAGAUAAUCAACGUCAACCAGAUUUACACUUUUCAAAUUAGCAACAAUGCUCUCUAACUCCAGUUCAAUUACAUUUAGAAUGACACGCAUGUUUAAAAAAAUUAAGAAAAAAUAUAGUAUUAGUGUCAACAUGAUAAUAAUAUAUACCGUUGCACUUUUACCGUGGCCUCGGAUAACAAAAUAUCUUCAUGUAUUCUUCAACUGCUAUUGACGGAUUUAGAGUUAAUUUUCUAGAAUAAUAAAUUUAAGAUAUCUAAUUUUUUGUAACAUAGACAAAACAAAAUAAAAAAGUAGGAGUUGAGAUUGCCCAUUUGUGAUUAAUAUAUCUGUUUGUAAAUAAACUCAUGAUUGCUAAGUGAACUAUCAUCACACCCUCUUUUUCCGCCGUAAAAAAAAAAGCUUCAAGCAUCUGAAUCAGAUCUUCAUGGUUUGAAUUUUUAAGAUUAUCACGGCAAGAUAUUUGAUACUGUGAAGUUGAUGUAGCAAGGUCGCCCCAUUUUCUUCUAAAAUUUGUAAUAAUAGUGUUAAAAGAUACGUGAUUAACUCUUAAAUAAUUAGCUAGCAUGCAGCAUAACAAAAGUACACUGGACCGUAUAACAUAUUAUGAAGGUCGAAACUGUUACAAAAAAUACAACAAUGUUAUAUUGAUAAUGUAUGAAUUAUAUUUACAUGUAUUAAUAAUUGAAACAUAGAGAAUAUAUAUAGUGUUUGGAACUAAGAGACAUCUUUGUAAUUAUCUCUCAUAAUAAGAUCCAUACAUUUACAAAUUUAAAGAAUUUGAAUCUCUAUGUUGGCUCAAAAGUCAUUAUAAUCUCUGAAUUCGAGAGGGAUGCUAGUAUAUUUUGAAAGAUAAUCAAUGUCAACCAGAUUUACACUAUUCAAAUUAGCAACAAUGCUCUCCAACUCCAAUUCAAUUACAUUUAGAAUGACACACAUGUUUAAAAAAAUUAAGAAAAAAUAUAAUAUUAAUGUCAACAUGAUAAUAAUAUAUACCGUUGCACUCUUAGUGUGACCUCUGUCGGAUAUCUUCAACUGCUAUUGACGGAUUAACAAUGUUUUUUUUGACAAUUUAGAAAUGUUUAUAAUUUUCUAAACAUCAUCAUUAUGUGAAUCACACAAAAUGCUGCCCAUGUUCCGUUGAAAAAUAUACAUAUUAUGAAGGUCUAUACUGCUAAAAAAAAUACAACAAAUGUUAUACAGAUAAUGUAUGAAUUAUAUAUACAUAUAUUAACAAUUUAAUAAUUAAAACAUAGAGAACAUACGUAGCGUUUGAAACAAAGAGACGCUUUCUACAAAAUGAUUUCAUCUCACACAAUAAGAUUCACACAUUCCCAAAUUUAAAGAUUUUGAAUCUCUAUGUUGGCUCGAGAGUCAUUGUAAUGGUCUCAUCUCCCACAAUAACAUCCACACAUUCACAAAUUUAAAGAUUUUGAAUCUCUAUGUUGUCUCGAGAGUCAUUGUAAUCUUUGAAUUCGAGAAUAAUGCUACUAUAUUUUGUAAGAUAAUAACUCAAUCAGAUUUACAUUCUUCAAAUUAGUAAUAAUGCUCUCCAACACCAGUUCAAUUACAUUUACAAUGACAUGCAUGUUUAAAACAAUUAAGAAAGAUAUAAUUAAUAUCACUCACAAUGACAACAUGAUAAUAAUAUAUAUCGUUUCACUCUUCUUGUUUCUUUUGUCAAAUAACAAAAUAUCUUCAUGUAUUCUUCAACUGAUAUUGACGAAGAUCCAUUAACAAGGAAGAAAACAUUUUAUAAAAUAUUUUUUAGACAAUUUAGAAAUGUUUGUAAUUUUCUUAACAGCAUCAUUAUGUGAAUCACACAAAAUGCUGCCAAUGUUCCGUUUCUUUAAGUUUAUCACGAGAUAAAGGUCUUAAAAACAUAUCAUGUACAAAAAAAAAAGUAAUGCACAAUAAAUACGAAACAAUCAACUAUUGGUAUUUUGAAUAACAAAAAUUAUUAUACUAAAAAAGAGUCAUUAAACUUUUAUAAAUUUCCUUACAUGAAAAUUAAUUACUAAUUUCUAAAAACACAUGAAUAUUAAAGUUCGUCUAAUCCAAAUUUUUUUAAAACAAUUCACACAUCAUACUAGAGGAUAAAAUUAUAUGUAGCAAAUGAUAAAAUAUUAAGAGAAAUUUUGGUAAAAUUAGAAAAUAAAAAUUUACACGGGGUUAGAUUCAAGCGGGGAGAAUACAUUACUCUCACCUAGAUCUAUGUUAUAAUGGAAGAGCUCUUUUACUCUAUUUGUCAACCCCGUUUUCAAGGUACCUCAUAUUCUAUUUAUAAGCUUCAUCUAGGAUUGUUGUUGCUUCUUCAGCCCCGUAGUGGGCUUUGUUUGUCUUUGUUGGACUGUGGCCUGACUUCUGUGGGCUGUGGCCCAACACACCUAUAAUAUAUACUCGAGGAUAUCACAUGGCCUCAAAAAUUGAUAUAUUUAUAUAAUACUGACUCCACUUUGGGUAUAUCACCCUAUAAUUUUCCUUUUACAAUUAAAGUUACCCGCUUUGCUACUUGAAACUAAAAAAGCAUCUUCCUAUAUAUUCUCCCUCACAAGGCCAUCAAUUAUUCUAUUUUAACAAAAAGUUAAACUUUCAAUUUAUUUUAAAGAAUAAUUGAAAUAUGUUAUUAAAUACAUGUAUCAUUCAUAAAAAUCAAACUCUUAAUUUAUAUUAAGAAUCAUAAAAAUUCAUUAAUAUGUAAUAAUUGAGGUAAAUAACAAAGGUUAAAGGUCAAAUCUUGAAGAAUGUCAAGUCAAAGUCCCAGGCUUUUCUUAAGUUUGCAAGAAUAAUUGAUUCAUCGGGAAACAAGAACUAUGAUAAUUGAAGUGAUUAAGACCGUUUGGCUUAAUUAAAAUAAGUGAGUUAUUGUUUAAUGUAAAAAAGAGGAUUAUCUAUAUCUAUAUUAUUAUUCUUAAAGCAUGAACUUUUUUAAGGCUAUUCCGGUAAAUUCACAUGCUCUUGGAUCAACCUAUUAGCCAUCUGGAUCUGAUGUAGAGAAGCUAAAACCAGUUUCUUCCCUAUUCAAAUUAACACUCUGCUUUUAAAUUUCGGAUCUUCGUGUAACUCGACCCGGAUUAAGUUGAAUCUCAUAGUAUCUUCCAACCACAUUAGAAUUUGAAAAAAGACAUUGAAUUUAGUUCCUUCAAUCGUGACACUCAUUACGCCUCUAUUUCAAAACAAAUCAGACUUUGAAAUUUGCAUUAAUCACAAAUCUGAAAAUAACGCAUCUGAUCUCGAUAUUAGUUUAAAUAGUCUGAUUUUCGAAUUUGAGGAGUGGUGUCUGCUGUUCUUCAUGCCAUCGAUGUAAGUUAUGGUUUUUCCUUGAAGAUGAGAUAUAAACAAUUGCAAUAUGAAUGUAAUGAUGUGNAUAAACAAUUGCAAUAUGAAUGUAAUGAUGUGUUUUUUUUUUUUUUUGAAGAUAUCUUUAAAGUUUUUCUAUUUUUUGAAUCUUAUGAUUUGUACUGGUUUAGAUUGUACAUCAUAGCAUCUUUCAGAUUUCUGUCUAUACGGUGUUAUUUCAACCUUGUAGAUCGAAAAGGAGGAGUGAUCUCUCAUGUUCUUUGUAACAUUGUUGUUGGUUGUGAGUUUUGGAUAUAAAUUAUACAUAUCAUAUAACCAAUGCUUCUGCUUUUAAUUUAAUGAGAACAUAAUUGUUUUUCCUGAAAAUGAGAACAUAAUUGUUAAUUAGUCUAGCAAAAUUAUAGUCCAUGAAUCAAACUAUUGAAUACUGCAUCCAUUCUCGUAUCUCGCAUUUCCCAUAUAAAUAUAGCACGAAUCUGACGGACAAUAAUCCUCUAUUGGCCUGUUCAUAUAAAAAAGUAUAAAUAUUUAAUUAUUUAUAAACUAAAAUCUAGAAUUUCAAUAAAAAAAUUUAUAUUUUAGUUCUUACUCCCUCUGUCCCGGUCAAUUGUAUAUGUUUCUUUUUCAUUGCUCGACACGCUUUUUAAGGCUCUUAUAAAACAUAGCUCUACAACUUAUUUUUAAGAUUUUCUUUUUUUUAUAAAAAUAUAACAUUUAUAUUUUUAUACAAAAAAAGAAAAUCUUAAAAGUAAUUUACAUAACUAUAUUAUAUUAAAGUAUUAAAGUUCGUGCCGCGCCCCCGUCCCCGAUGUAUACUAUUGACCGGGACGGAGGGAGUAUCCAAUUAUGAAUACAUCCUCGUCAAUAUCACGUGACGGCCCACAGAUCAAUUAAACAAACACUUAUCCAUCUCUAAUUCUCUAUCUAUAAAUACACGUACACACACAUCUACACUCUCAUUCACUACCAAUAAUACACACAGUUGCAAAUAAACAUGAAGAGCACAGGAAAGAGCAGCUCAAAUCCCAAGGCAACCGGAAAAUCCGGUCACGAAGCCCGAAAAGAUCGCCAGUCCGGCACCGGAGUCACCGGAUCACCGAAGAAAGGCGGUCACGGCGGCAAGUUCACCUGGUCCGGCGAUAACGCAAACCUCGGGAACGAUGAGUUCAUCGCCGCCGUUGAUCGUAAUGACCCUAACUUUGAAGAUCCCGAUGUUGCUGUAGCGGAGAAUUAAUAGAUUAUUAUUCGAUAGAUGUAUGUAUGUAUAUGUUUGUUUUUCUGGUAUUAAGUUGUAUCGAUAUAUGGAUUUAUCUCUGUAUGAUGAAGUAUCGAUCAUUAUAAAAUUGUCGCGAUUUAAUUUUUCUCGUAACAUCGAUCCGGUUCGGAGUCCGAAAAUAUGUUUAUAAUAAUAUAAUGAAAGAUUGUGAUAAUAUGCAUAUCAGAAUACAAUGCA
rnacentral:lncRNA from 1 species